rnacentral:lncRNA from 1 species
UGCCUCCUAGGUUCUAGUCGGAUCGUCAACGUCACCUCCUACCAAAUCGAUAAUUAGGUAUCUCAUCGAAAGAUCGGGACACCCUCGAGGCUAUCACGUGGUAUCAGAGCUUACGGUUACUCGGUGAAACUUUUCCAAUUUAUUCCUAGUUUAGAUCUGUUUUUACCUAUCUCCAAGAAAAGCCAAAAAAAAUUAUUAGAUUAGUUACCUUGUCCUAGAACCAAUCUGAGCCUUGCAAUUUUCACAUUAGUUUUGCAUUGUUGAAUCUUUGCUGCAUUAAUCGUGUCGAGUUGCUGGAUUAGAUUGGAUCGUUUUUCAGAUUUUUUCUACUAGAUCGAACUUGUUUUUGUCUUUUAAUUUCGUGUAACGCAGGCUUUCCAUCAAUCUUCCGCCGCCAAACUUCCUGCCACACCGCCGCUAUAAUCUUCCGCCGCCACCAUAUCUUCCACCGAGUCCUACACCGAGUCCCUCUUCGAGUCCUACAUCGAGUCGGUAAGUUAUAGUUUUCAGCCGCGAAUCCGAGUUCGAGUCCAAUCGGGAGAGAGUUGGGGAAAGAGUUUCGGAAAGAGGAAAGAUAUCAAAAAAAAAAUUGGAGAUCAAGUUGUUCGGAAAGUUUUGAUACGGAAAGAAAAAAAGGAGAGAAAAACGGGUGGGUUUGACCGGUGUUCACUAAAACGGGCGUAUCUUUUGCAUACGAAGUCGGAUUUGGACGUUCCAGGACUUUUCAGAAAGCUCUCGACGAGGCACAUCCUCUAAAAUUAGGCCUCUAAGGUGGAUUUUUCGAGCUCCGAAGUUUCUGCACCCGUUUUUCGGCCCCGGGGCAACCUAGUAUAUCUCAGUUUUCUCCACCGUCCGACCUCCGUUUCGAGUGAUCUUGCACUUGUUGAAAAUCUUGUUUUGAUACGCUUCUAACCGAUAUUUCUCAUAUUUUUCUGAGUUUUCCUUACUACAGCCUUUGUUGUUCUCCUACAGACCGACGUGCAGCUUUCCGGUCUUAACUUCUUUUGCGUGAGUUUCUGGGGUUUAAAAAAAAGAAAAAAAUUGAAAAGAAUAAGAAGCCAAACAGAAGGCCACAAGAAGAAAAAAAGAAAAAAGAUAAAUAUUCCCCAGAGAUUUACUUGUUUUACCUUUCAUUUGAUCUUUCCUUUCUACCUUUUUCAGUAUUUAGGCUUAGUUAAUUUCUGUAAUUCGUUCUUAUCGACUCCAGCAGCUAGGACUAGCAUUUUUGAGCAUAUUUUCAACUUUGCAUUGCUGAUUUGAUUAUUUACUUUUCCUUGCUACUCACAUAAGCCUACAAGCUCCACAGAUUGUACACCUAAGUUGGUUUGCCCCAAGGCAUCGAUACAUUAAUCUUCGGAGGGCUUGUUCUCGCCGCUGGCCAUCACCUUCCUGUUUGUUGCGUAAGAACGAGUAAGAACUUGAUUAAAAGUUGAGUGGAGUGAUCUUUGGAACCCCACAUCCUAGUAGUGCAUAGGGACUUUUUUUUGUGAUUUGUUUCUUGUUUUCUCCUAACGAUGGCAGGUUCUGACGAUGAUUUACAAGGCCACUCUCCACGCACAAAGGGCAUUAUUUCACAUUUUGAUCGCAAGCUUAGGCUCCGUAACGAGGAGCUGGAUGAGGACGUUUGGGUUGCGAAUGAGAGACUUGGAACCUUGGAGAGCGCGCACAUUGAAACAAAUAACAAGCUAACAUCUUUACAGAAUUCUGUUGCUACCAUUAGUACUUCUCUGGCAGAAAUCACGACGCAACUGGUGGCACUUGCUGCAACGACCAUCGCUACACCGGGAGGAAACAAUACACAUAACCAGCGGACCGCUAAUAACGGCACCUUCGCAAGCAAGGUUGAGGAGAACGACGACAACUACUCCGCGGAUACGGAACAAGACGGGGCCGUAAACCAUCACAACGACCGUGAUCAUCGUCAAACUCAUUUCAACCGCCGAGGUAUGGGACCGACACGACCUCAAAGAGAGAAACAUGACUCGCUGCAUUCUAUUAAACUUAAGGUUCCUCCUUUUGAUGGAAAAUAUGACCAUGAUGCUUACCUCACAUGGGAAUUAGAAUUGAGUCAAAAAAUUACUUGCCAUGAUUUUCCUGCUAAUAAGAGGGUUAGGGCUGCUACUAGUGAGUUUACUGAUUUUGCUUCUGUUUGGUGGCAUGAGUAUUGUAUUGCACAUCCUAACAAUAUACCACCAACAUGGGAUGAUUUGAAAAGAAUUAUGCGCGCUAGAUAUGUUCCUUCAUACUAUUCGCAUGACUUGUUAAAGAAACUACAACAAUUAAGGCAAGGUCGUAAUUCUGCCCAAGAUUAUUAUCAAGAAAUGCAAAAGAACAUGUUACGUUGUGGUUUAGUUGAGAAUGAGGAAGCUGCUAUGGCUAGAUCUUUGGUGGUUUAAAUCAUGAAAUUGCUGACAUUGUUGAUUAUAAGGAGUAUAAUUCUAUCAAUCGAUUGUUUCACAUUGCUUGCAAAGCUGAAAGGGAAGUGCAGGGACGACCCACGAACGCGCGGACUAACUUUUCUGCAGGUCGUACUUCCUCAUGGGCAGCACGCAGCCCCGCUGCCCCUUCCACACGCCCAGCCCCUACACGUUUGGCUGUUCCUACUACUUCCACCAACAAGCAAAGUACCUCUACACCUACAUCCGCAAAGGUUGGACCAGCAGCAACAAGAAAUACACCCGCUGCCUCUGCACAAAGUUCAGCAGCGUCCGUUGCUUCCACCGGACGAACCGGAGAUAACCAAUGUCGUAGGUGCAAAGGAUACGGGCAUUUUCAGCGGGACUGUUCAACCAAACGCGUUAUGAUCAUAUGUGAAGAUGGAGUAUAUGAUUUAGCCAGUGAUUUUGACGAAGCUACCUAUGCUCUCAUUGCCAAGGAAGAGCAAGAAGACCCCGCUGCCCACCAUGACGAGGAGUCAAUGGAAGCUGAAGUCGCUGAUCAGUACUUGAGUUUGAUUGCACAACGCACCUUGAGCGUCCAAAUGAGCCACGCCGAACAAAAUCAGCGGCAUAACUUGUUCCAAACAAAAGGGGUCAUCAAGGAGCGCGUUGUUCGUAUAAUUAUAGAUGGGGGAAGUUGCAAUAAUUUGGCUAGCACGAAGAUGGUGGAAAAACUUGUUCUUACCACCAGGCCGCACCCCCACCCUUACUACAUUCAAUGGUUUAACAACAACGGUAAGCUCAAGGUAACUAGAACAGUCCGUGCACACUUUACUAUUGGUACAUAUUCUGAUUUUGUGAAUUGUGAUGUGGUACCUAUGCAAGCAUGUUCUAUGUUACUCGGUCGUCCAUGGCAAUAUGAUAAAGAUUAUGUUCAUCAUGGAAGAACUAAUCAUUAUUCUUUUAUGCAUGAUGGUAAGAAAAUUGGUUUGAAACGUAUGACUCCUAAACAAAUUGUGAAAGAUGAUCUUGCUAGAGCUAGUAGAGCAAAGAGCAAAGAGAAGGAUAAGAGUGAGAACCAGAAUGUCGCUGAAGAAUUUAAGCACCAAGCGUCUACUAGCAAAUCUGAACCGAAACAUGUUAAUGAAAUUAAAUUGAAAGGUGCAUGCUUGCUUGCAAGUAAAUCUGAUAUUUCUGAUUUAGAUGCGAAUAAUUCUAUUUGCUAUGCAUUCAUUUGCAAAGAGGCUUUGUUUUCAUUUGAGGAUAUGCCUCCCUCUUUGCCCCCUGCUGUUACUCACGUUUUGCAGGAGUAUUCCGACGUCUUUCCACGAGACGUACCACCAGGAUUACCACCUAUUCGAGGGAUUGAACAUCAAAUUGAUUUAAUUCCUGGUGCUUCGCUGCCCAACCUUGCGCCCUACCGUAAGAAUCCAGAGGAGACGAAGGAGAUUCAACGACAAGUUCAAGAAUUGCUCGACAAAGGUUAUGUUCAUGAAUCCCUUAGUCCUUGUGAUGUUCCUGUUAUUUUGGUACCAAAGAAAGAUGGUUAUUGGCGUAUGUGUGUAGAUUGUAGAGCUAUUAAUAACAUUACUAUUCGCUAUCGUCACCCAAUUCAUAGACUUGAUGAUAUGUUCGAUGAAUUAAGUGCCUCUACUAUGUUCUCUAAAGUUGAUUUACGUAGUGGUUACCACCAAAUUCGAAUGAAAUUAGGCGAUGAAUGGAAAACAACAUUUAAAACUAAGUUUGGACUAUAUGAGUGGUUAGUCAUGCCUUUCAGUCUUACUAAUGCACCUAGCACUUUCAUGCGGUUAAUGAACGAAGUUUUAUGUGCUUUCAUAGGACGAUUUGUGGUGGUUUAUUUUGAUGAUAUAUUGAAUUACAGCGGCUCUUUAGAGGACCACUUGAAUCAUUUAUGUGUUGUUUUUGAUGCUUUGAGAGAUGCACGUUUGUUUGGUAACCUUGAGAAGUGCACCUUUUGCACCGAUCGAGUUUCGUUUCUUGGCUAUGUUGUCACUCCACAGGGCAUAGAAGUUGAUAAGGCCAAGAUCGACGCUAUUCAAAGAUGGCCAACUCCAACAACAGUCACGCAAGUGAGGAGCUUUCUUGGACUCGCUGGGUUUUAUCGCCGCUUUGUAAAGGAUUUCAGCACCCUUGCUGCACCGCUUAAUGAGCUCACAAAGAAGGAUGUUCCAUAUGAAUGGGGCGCUACACAAGAAGAAGCUUUUCUCAUAUUGAAAGAUAAAUUGACACAUGCUCCUUUACUCCAACUUCCUGAUUUUAAUAAGACUUUUGAGUUGGAGUGUGAUGCUAGUGGAAUCGGUUUAGGAGGUGUGUUGUUACAAGAUGGAAAACCUGUUGCAUACUUUAGUGAAAAAUUGAGUGGGCCUAGUCUGAAUUAUUCUACUUAUGAUAAGGAAUUAUAUGCUCUCGUUCGGACUUUAGAAACAUGGCAACAUUAUUUAUGGUCCAAAGAAUUUGUUAUACAUUCAGAUCAUGAAUCUUUGAAGCAUAUUCGUAGUCAAGCAAAGCUGAACCAUCGUCAUGCUAAAUGGGUUGAAUUUAUUGAGUCUUUUUCGUAUGUUAUUAAACAUAAGAAGGGUAAAGAUAAUGUUAUUGCUGAUGCGUUAUCACGUCGUUAUACCUUGUUAUCUCAGCUUGAUUUUCGGAUAUUUGGAUUGGAGACUAUAAAAAAACAAUAUGAACAUGAUGCAGAUUUAAGGAUGUUUUGCAGCAUUGUAAAGAGGGCAGAACAUGGAACAAGUUCAUCAUUCAUGAUGGAUUUGUGUUCCGUGCUAACAAGCUAUGCAUCCUAGAUAGCUCCGUUCGUCUUUUGUUGUUACAGGAGGCACAUGGAGAAGGGUUGAUGGGUCACUUCGGCGUGAAGAAGACCGAAGAUGUGCUCGCUGAUCAUUUCUUUUGGCCUCGGAUGAGACGGGAUGUUGAGAGAUUUAUCGCUCGCUGCACUACAUGUCAAAAACCUAAGUCACGACUCAAUCCUCAUGGUUUAUAUAUGCCUCUCCCUGUUCCUGUCGCACCAGUGGCACCCGGGGUACCACCGCUGCACGACGCGUGGCCCCCUCCCCCGGGUUCCCGGGAAGGUCUCAUCCCGGGGAGCGCCAACGAGCUUCCCGGCAAGCUACCAGCCCCGAAAUGGGCUAGCGGGGCCUCCCGGAAUAUUCCCGAUUAGGCACCUCUCGGGAAGCUGCUUCCCCGGAGGAGGUUCCCGGGCGCGCUGGGCCCGGGUGCUUCCCGGGCCGACUUGCGGGGACUGGAGGCUCCCGGACGCGUGCCCCCGCCUCGGGUCGUGGGGCCCGCUGGACAGCGCCACACGGGCGCGUGGCGGGCGCGGAACGCGCGGUCCCACCAAGGCAAGGAGUAAGGUGCGCGGCUCAGUAAACGAGCCGACCGACGGGUAGUUACCCGUCGGGUCGAAGGAACAGUGGUUGUUCAAUCCUACCCUAAGGUCUUAGGCCCCUAGCAGCGGAGGUGGCACCCAUGCAUGCCACCAACUCACCAAGGAGAGUCGCAUGCCUCCCCGCUGGACACUUGUAGCCCAUGCACCGUGGCACAUGUGGCAUCCCCUUGUGUAUAAAAGGAAGACCCAUGCCAACGGUCUGGAGGGUUUUUUUUUGACAGGUUAGUCAGUUGGUCAGUUAAUUGGUUCGGACGAAGCUCGCUCGAUAGAUGCUUAGUGGCUCCAGCAGGCAGCCAGCAGAGAGCGGUAAGGAGUGCCUAGCCACUGAGAGAAAGCCCGGGAGCUUGCCCGGCAACUUGUAAACAUUUGAUCCGUAAUCAAUAUCAGCUCAGACAGGCAGGACGUAGGGUUUUACACCUCCGGGUGGCCCGAACCUGGGUAAACAUCGUGCGUACGUCUGUUCUUGGACUAGCGCGUACCCCUAGCACUUUGCCUCGCCGGCCCAGUAGGGCCUCGUCGGCCGUGCCGGCGAUCAUCUGGUCUCCACCCCAGACGCCCCUACUGAACCUGAAAGGGGGACGUGGCUGCACGCCCCCGGUGUCGGAGCACCGAGCGACGACAUCGGGCGCGCCAGGUAGGGGGCGCGGGAGUGGACGGCGCCGGAGAUCGCCGGUAGCGGAAGUUCCCAUCGGCAUCGGCUUCACUCUUCUUCGUCGACGAGCCUUGUCACCAUGCCCUCUAAGCGGGCUGGUGAUUCACGCAUAGACCCGCGUGAGGCCCCAGCGGCGCACACGCGGUCGCACGACGUGCGACCCGAAUCGGGAGCUCAAGAGAAUCCUGAGCCCUCGAGGGUGCAGCAAACGCAGCUGCCUCCACCGCCUCCCCGCCCGUCGACCGACAAUCGGCCGAGGGGACCGGCUGCCCCCAGCGCUGGGGGCAAUCGGGCGAGCACGCAUGGCGUCGCCCGGGCCAGCCAACGGGUGGAGACGCGACCCGAGGAUGCCCCGCGGCAGCGGCACCCGGAGCACGCCGCGUCCCGAGCGACCCCUGGAGGUUCGCACCCUGCAUGCCCGGAGGCGUCCGGGGCCAGGGCGGGAAGCAGCCGUUCAGGAAACCGGUUGCCCCCCGUGCGAACCCCGGCUGAAGCCAUCGUCGCCGCGCGCGUCAUGGUGCAGUACGAGCCACAGCAGGGUACGCCGGCGCACGAGACGUGGGGCGAGGAGUUGGAGGCGCGUCUCACCCUAGCCACCCAACAGCCGCAAGGCGAGGGCGCCCCAGUAGGCUCCGGCCACGGGCCGAACUCAGAGCGCGAAGGCGCACCGUCCGCCUCACGACAGGGGGAGAACCCGCCCCCUCCUCAGCGGGGCCUGGUAGACGGGAGCCCGGAGGGGUCCUCGAAUUCAUCGCCCACCGUCCCAGGGGGCGAUGCGCGUGGCAUCUUGAAUGCCCGACAACAGGAGCGCCGGCGCAGGCGCUUGGAGCGCCGGCACCCACUGGAGCAAGAAGAUGCUCCCCUAGGCCCAGAGGACGGCUGCACUGCGUUCGCGCGCGAGUUGCGGCAGGUGGUGUGGCCCCGUAAGUUCCGAGCGCCUGCGCUCGGUACGUACGACAGGACCGCUAAUCCCAAAGAUUUUCUCCUGACCUAUACGCUGGGCAUGCAUGCCAUCGGCGCCGACGACAAGGUCAGGGCAAACUGGUUCCCGAUGGUCCUGAAGGGAUCAGCGCGAACCUGGUUGCUCAACCUGCCCGCCGGAUCCGUCGCCACCUGGGCAGACCUGCGCGAGCAGUUCGUGAGCGCGUUCCAGGGCGGCUAUAAGCGCCCGGGAACCAUGGCGGAGCUGCACAUCAUCGUGCAAAAACCGGGAGAGACGUUGCGGGCCUUCGUCAACCGCUUCUCCAAUCUCUCCUAUUCUAUCCCGGAGGCGGAGGCCGUCGCCAUCAUAAACACCUUCGCCAUCAACGUCCGCGAUCCCAAGAUGCGUGAAAAGCUGAGCACGCAUCGGAUCCGGACGACGCAGGACUUGUCCGCCUUGGCGCACAAGUGCGCCAUGGCCGAGGAGGGGCGCCUAGCGCCCGGGCAAUGGCUCGCAGAAGAAGGGUUCCCGUAAGCGCAGCGGGAAGCAAGUCCUCGCUGCGGACCCGGGGGCUCCGGCCGCGAGGCCCACGAAGAAGGCCUCGCCGGGGGGAGAAUCUGGUGGGAAGCAGGGCGACACGUCCCGCUGUCCUAUCCACAACAACUCCACCCACGACGCGUAGAGUUGCCGCGUCCUGCAAGGGAUCAAGCAGCGGCGGGAGCAACGCCACGAGGAGCGCCGCGCCGCCGGCGCCUGCUUCAAUUGUGGCGACAUCGGGCAUCUCUCCCGAGAUUGCCCGAACGACCCCAGGGCAGGUCCGAGGCCGGCCGGCGGGGGUGCCGGCAGGGUCGAAUCCCAAGGAGGGCACAGCCAGCCCCUCGCUGUGCGGGAACGCCCUCCUCGCGGGCGCGACAGGGUGCGCGGAGAGGAGCAACGCGAGUCCGACCGUUCCGGCGGCAACGAGCCGGGCUUCCAGGAGCCUCGUGGCAUCGCCUGUAUCCAUGUGGGAUCUUACGCUCUCCCAUCCGACGCCGCGGCGAAGCGCCUCACCCGCGACGUGUGCGCGCUGUUGCUGAAUGCUGAGCCGCAACAGCCGCUGAGGUGGUCGCACGUGCCGAUCACCUUCAGCGCUGACGACCACCCGGUGUGACAAUUGGGUUCCGGAAUAAUACCCUUCGUCGUCUCGCCGAUCAUUAGCAAUAUGACGGUGACCAAGGUCCUGGUGGACAACGGAGCGGGGCUUAACCUCCUGUCCGCCAGGCUGGUGGAAAAGCUUCAGCUGCCGAUGGAGCAGCUGAAGCCCACCGAACCGUUCCGGGAAGCAUUCAGGACCGAGCACAUAGUGUUCGAUGUGGCGCAUAUCCCGUUGCCCUACAACGGGAUCCUUGGCCGUUCGGCGCUGAUCAAGUUUAUGGCGGCUACGCAUUGCGCCUACGGUGUGAUGAAGAUCCCGUCCGUUUACGGAGUCCUCUCCAUCGGGUGCGAUCUCAAAGACGCUGCUUGGUGCGUUGGCGAGGUCGUCCGGGCCGCUGCUGCAGCUGACGCUGGCGACGAAGGUGCUGUCGAGGACGACGCCCUGCCGGGUGACGCCCCGGCAACGAAGAAGGCCCGCACCACCCCGCAAGGGCUAGCCGGAGGAGGUGCGGGCUCGAGCGCGCGUCCCGGCAAGGGGCGGGGGCUCCGGGAGGAGGCCGCCAAAGUGAAGAAGUUGCCCCUCCAAGCCGGCGACAAGGAGCGCACCGUUACCGUCGGUGCGAACCUGACCGCCGAAUAGGAAAGCGCCCUCGCCACCUUCCUCCGGGAAAAUGCCAACGUGUUCGCCUGGGAACCGUCGGACCUUCCCGGAGUCCACAGGGAGGUGAUUGAGCAUCGGCUCGCGGUGCGCCCGAACGCGCACCCCGUCAAGCAGAAGAUCCGACGGCAGGCACAAGAGCGGAAAGAUUUAUCAAGCAAGAGGUGGGCAAGCUCAGGGCUGCCGGGGCGAUCAGGGAAGUUUUGUACCCCACUUGGCUGGCUAACCCUGUAGUGGUGCCCAAAGCGGGGAAUAAGCUCCGCAUGUGCGUGGAUUUUACCGAUCUUAAUCGUGAAUGCCCCAAGGAUCCCUUCCCUGUACCCCGUAUCGACCAGAUAGUUGAUUCUACCGCUGGUUGUGACCUGUUGAGUUUUUUGAAUGCUUUCUCUGGCUACCAUCAAAUCAAGAUGGCGGUCGAGGAUGAGGAAAAGACAGCGUUUAUCAUCCCGGUUGGCUGCUACUGCUAUACAUGCAUGCCUUUCGGGUUAAAGAACGCGGGCUCCACAUUCCAGCGUGCCCUGCGAGAAUGUUUGGGGCCCCAGCUAGGCCGCAACGCGGAGGCCUACAUGGAUGACAUCGUCAUCAAAUCGAAGUGUAGGGACUCCCUGAUUGAUGACCUGCGGGAGACAUUUGACAACCUCCGCAAGAUCAAGCUCAGACUAAACCCGGAUAAGUGCACCUUCGGUGUCAACUUCGGGCAGCUUCUGGGUUUCUUGGUUUCACACCGGGGGAUACAGGCCAACCCGACCAAAAUAGAAGCCAUCGAGAAGAUGGAGGCCCCCCGCAAGGUGAAAGAUGUCUAGCGCCUCAACGGCUGCGUUGCCGGGCUUGGACGCUUCAUCUCCAGGCUGGGCGAGCGUGCCCUGCCUUUCUUCCGGGUAAUGAAGAAGAAGGGUCCAGUCCACUGGACUGUCGAGGCCGAGGCGGCACUCCAGGAACUCAAGCGAUACCUGAGGUCACCGCCCAUCCUCGUCGCCCCCAAGUUGGGCGAGCCGCUGCUACUCUACCUAGCGGCGACUGACCAGGUGGUCAGCUCGGUGCUGGUUGCCGAGAGGGAGGAAGAAGUCCCGGGGAUUGGGGCUGCGGGGCAGGUGACUGAGCAGCCUCCGGCAACCACCACAAGCCCAGGGACCACCCCAGAGCCGGCAAUCUCGGCGCCACGGAAGCGGUUGGUGCAGCGACCGGUGUACUUUGUCAGUACGGUGUUGCGCGACGCGCAGACAAGAUACCCGCAAGUACAGAAGCUUCUUCUGGGGAUUCUCCUUGCGUCCGCAAGUUGCGCCACUACUUCCGGGCGCACCGCGUCACGGUGGUGUCCGGGUUCUGCCUCGGGAAGACCCUCACCAACCGUGAAGCCACCGGGAGAGUGGCCGAAUGGAGGAUGGAGCUGUCGGAAUUCGACCUCCACUUCGCCAACUCCAAAAGCAUCAAGAGCACGGCCCUGGCGGACUUCGUCGCGGAGUGGACGUCCACGGGCGUAGAAGAAAGUGAGUCAGAGACCGGCCUUCCCGGCAAGCUGGACGAGGGCCCCUGGGUCCUCUACUUCGACGGUGUGUUCAGUCUCCAGGGAGCGGGAGCCGGGGUCGUCAUCGAGUCACCCACAGGGGACCAGCUGCGGUUCGCCGUCCAACUCGACUUCGCUAACUCCACCAACAACACGGCGGAGUACGAAGGCCUGCUUGCCGGGCUGCGGGCAGCGGUCGCCCUCGACAUUAAGCGCCUGGUUGUUCGCGGUGAUUCCCAGCUUGUGAUCAACCAAGUGAACAAGGACUACGAUUGCCCUCAAAUGGCGCCGUACGUGAAAGAGGUCCGCAAGCUGGAACGGAAGUUCAAGGGUUUGCGCUUCGAACACGUCAAGCGGAAGGACAACUUCGCUGCUGAUGAGCUGGCCAAGAUGGCAGCAGAGCGCCGGAAGCCUCCGGCGGGGGUGUUCUGUCAGAAGCAACUGGCUCCUUCAGUCACCCCCCAGACGGCUGCCGGGGACGCCCCUCCGGCAACCGAGGGAACCCCUGCAGCAGCAGGGGUCCAUGCCGCUGAUAUGGCGGCAUGCACGGGCAGAGAAAUUCCUCCCUGGGCGGAAGAGAUCGCCCGCUAUCUGAAAUGGGAGGCCCUCCCGGAGGAUGACGACGCCGCGGAGCGCGUAGCGCGGCGAGCCAAGAUAUACACCGUGAUAGACGGCAGCGUCUACCGCAGGCGUGCGAAUGGUGUAAAACUCCUCUGCGUGCCGCAGGAGGAAGGGUGUGCACUGUUGGAGGACAUACAUCGAGGCACAUGUUCACACCAUGUGGCCUCCCGGGCUUUAGCCGGCAAGGCUUUCCGGCAUGGUUUUUACUGGCCCACGGCCCUGACCGACGCAGAGCGGAUGGUGAGGACGUGCGAAGCGUGCCAGUUCCACUCGAAGAAGAGCAACCAACCAGCCCAGGCCCUGCAUGCCAUCCCGUCCUCAUGGCCGUUCGCGGUCUGGGGACUAGACAUCGUCGGCAAGCUACCAAGGGCGGUUGGCGGUUACGAAUACUUGUUUGUGGCCAUUGACAAGUUCUCCAAAUGGGUGGAGGUGGAACCAGUGCGCAAGGUGACCGCCCAGGCGGCCAUCAAGUUCCUUAAGGGCAUUGUGUGCCGGUUCGGGGUUCCCAACAGCAUCAUCACCGAUAACUUCACGCAAUUCACGAGCGCAGCGUUUCGCGACUACUGCGAAGACAUGGGCACUAAGUUGCGCUUCACGUCCGUCGCUCACCCGAGGAGCAGCGGACAGGCGGAGCGAGCCAACGCAGAGGUUCUGCGGGGGCUCAAGACGAGAACCUUUGACAAGCUCAAAGGCCACGGGAAGCACUGGGUCGAAGAACUCCAGCCCGUGCUGUGGUCCGUCCGGACCACACCUAGUCGGGCAACGGGCGAAACUCCUUUCGCCCUUGUCUACGGGGCAGAAGCGGUGCUGCCCCUCGAGCUCAAGUACGGAUCUCCCCGAGUACGCGCGUACGGCGACGCCAGCCAACACGAGCAAAGGGUCGACGAUCUAAACUUCAUCGAAGAGCUUCGGUGCCGGGCUGCUGUGCGAGCCGCGCGCUACCAGCAGGGACUCCGUCGUUAUCACGACAGACGAGUCCGUCCCCGGGGGCUCGAGAACGGAGACCUUGUCCUGCGUCGGAUAUAAGGAACGAAGGCCGGGAACAAGUUGACUUCGAAAUGGAAGGGGCCCUUCCGGGUAGUGCAGGUGACCACGCCGGGGGCUGUCCGCCUGGAAACCGAAGACGGCUCGUUAUCACAACAGACGAGUCCGUCCCCGGGGGCUCGAGAACGGAGACCUUGUCCUGCGUCGGAUAUAAGGAACGAAGGCCGGGAACAAGUUGACUUCGAAAUGGAAGGGGCCCUUCCGGGUAGUGCAGGUGACCACGCCGGGGGCUGUCCGCCUGGAAACCGAAGACGGCUUGCCGGUGCCCAAUAGCUGGAAUAUUGAACACUUGCGCAAGUUCUACCCGUGAAGCGGCGGAGCCCGACCCUCAGGUGAUGCCUCUGAUGCAUACCUCUCGAACUAGUGUAACCGGGCAGCCCCUGUGUGUAAACCGCUAGUUAACUGUGAAUAAAGAUAGGUGUUUCACCCCUGAGCUUUGUUCUUGCCUUGUUCAUUCGCUUGUUUUCCUCCUCUUGCCUCCUACUUUAAGUGCACAAAGGUGUCUUUCUCUACUUGGUUGUGAGCAAGGGGCUGCCGUGGCCCCGAAACGAAAACCCGUUGCCGGAUCGUUCCGGCACUGGUCGUGCCGCUGGCGGGCUUCCCGCAACGUGCACCACGAGGCGUGCGGUUGCUCGGCCUCCUGCCGCCCGCACCGCGCAGUCGCUGCGCCCGGGAAGGAAACGCUCACAUCCAAGUUUGGCAUCGACCCCUUUGUGCCGGGGGCUGGGAAGUAGGAGAAAUGAGUUUUAUCUGAUUUACCUGUGUUACUUGUUUUCAUAAGUUUCGAAAUUUUUUCAGCACCUCGGAUCUGGUAAGAGUCUAACCUGCAGGAAAGGGAGGAAUCUUGUACACUGUGGUGCCCGUGAGCUGCCCACGGGACGCACCAUACACCGGUGCCUUGUGGUGCGGGAGGACCGCAACACAAGGGGUUCACCGCACUCCGAGGCUUCUGGGUUGUCGGCUGGCCGCCGUGUGUGCCGUGGUUACCCGUAAGCAUGGCGGCGGAAACAGCGCCGCGUUCGGGGAAAAGGCACCACGGUGCCGCGCGGAUCCGUCGCGCGCGGUGGCAAGGCCCCCCCGCGCCCCUGCCGCACCGCCCCAUCGAGCCCACCCCGAGGGGCGCUGCAGAGGCACGGGGGCAGUGCGUGCCGUCCGCGUCCCGCGCCGACGGGUGCACUGCCGUUGUGCCCCCGCUGCGCUUCCUCAAAGGGGCGGUUCCGGGGCGAGGGUCGCCGCAGAGGCACUGUGGCGGUGCGUCCCGUCCGCGUCCGGCGCCGACGGGGUGCAUUGCCACAGUGCCCUUGUCGCCCCCUCCGUAGGACACCUCCGCAGGGAGCGGGGUUGACCGCGGAGACUCUACGGUAGUGCGUGCCAUCCAUGCCUUGUGCCGGCGGGUGCACUACCAAAGAGACCCGGCCGCAUUCCCUUUGAGAGAGUCUUCUUCGGGCGCGGGUCGUUGCGAGGACGCUGUGAUGGCGCCGGUGCUGGCGCUCAUUGCUCGUUCCGGCCCAUCACCGCGUCCCUGCCGUGGCCCUCGAGCAGUUUAGCUCCUGGGUAACAAGGGUCGUCGCAUCCCUUGGGGCGAGUCCCCUAGAGAAAACCCAGGUCUCCCCAGUUGCGGGGGCUGUCGCUGGAAGGCUAUAACUUCCUCGUCACCCGUACCCGCCGUUCGGGGUGUGGCGAAGCCGGCGCCGAGGACGUUAUAGCCGUCUCGCGGCUGCUCCCGGAGCGGAGCCCUCCUAAGCCAGGGUUCGUCCCUGAAGGCCAGGGUCCGCCCCUGAGGGCGAGGGUUGCCGCGUGAGCGUGGUGGUAGCAUCGUCGGCGGUGGUUGCCGCCGGCGGCGAUCCUGCCCCCGCGUUCCUGCCGCAUCCCUCCGAGAUCGUUCCCCCUGAACAGGUACCCCGGAUGGUUUCCUACCGAGGUGGCGCCCCGUCUGCACUCUACCGCAGAGCAUCGCGGAACGUUGGACCAAACGGAAAGCUAAGUAUCUGAACAUGAACGCUAAAUUCGCUAAGAGCUGAACAAAACUGAGCACUGCCCCGCUGGGUGCGGCCCCGGAUCCCGCGCGUAGCGGGAGUGUUACAAGGGACGCUUGCGGGGGGAAUGCGCUCCCCGUGUGGCUCCCGGGUCCGCCCCGGGAGGGCACGGCUCGGGGUGGUUACCCCGCAAGCGGAGUGGCUCCCCGCUACCGCUUGGCCCCAGGUCGGCACCGCUACGCCUUGAGCUUCUCCACGAUGGGGAGGAGGUCGGCGUCACGGUGGUACCUGUCCUGCCAGCCGAUCUGGGGCACCGGCAGCCCCGUCGGCGGCUGGAUGAACUCCUGGGGGUCCUCCACUCGGACCCAGCACCAGUUGCCCCGCCAUUCUUUUUCGAUCUUCUUCCCCGACCGGACGAUGAACUCCGACUUCAUCUGGUCGCGGGCACGGAAAACCACCCCCGACGACAUCGCCUUCGCAUUGUCGAUGCGCGGGUAAAAGUAAUGCCGGAAGAGCCCCACCGACGGCAUCACCCCCACGAACGCCUCGCAGAGGAACUGGAAGGUGGCGAGGAGGAAGAGCGAGGUGGGGUGGAGCUGCGCCACCCGCAGCUGAUAGGACUCCAUCAGCGCGUGGAGGAACAGAGAGAAGGGCGGCACCAUGCCGCAGAGGAGGAAGCGCGCGAACACCCGGAAGUCGUUAUCCUGGUGUUCGACGCCCGCCGGGAAGAUCCGCGUCUCCCCGUGCUCGUUGAAGUUGGAGGCGACAGCGUGCCGGAGCUUCCCCAGCGCGUCGCUGUUGUAGCCGGGGCGGAAGAAGGCUACUUUCGCGCGCAUCUCCCGCCUCUUUUGGUCCUUGGCGGCGGCCGCUUUGAGUGCCGCCUCGGUCUUGCUGGUCGCGGGCUUCUUCGAAGACUGGACCUCCUUCCCCUUUCUGGUGGUGGGGGGCACCAUGAGGAGCGAGGGUGGAAGCUGGCAAGAGCGCAGGGAUGCGAGAUGCGGAAGAGGAUGGAGGCGAAAGGGCAAAGUGUUGCUCCCCGUUGCCAACAGUGGAAGCUUUAUGACGCCCGGUCGUUUGGUAACGGCCGGUUCCGUACCCUACGGGUGCGCGGGGAUAACUCCUAAUCACUGGGAGUAAUGCGCGGAGUGGCCAUAACUACCCCAUUUAGGCGGGGGGGAUUAGGGCGGAAAUCUCGCGCCCACUACUCCGCUUUUGGCGGUGCCGUACACGGGGCAGCAAAGGGGCGCGGGCCCGCAACUGAUCGGGGGCCCACGCGUCGGUUAAGGGCGUAGCCCGGCAACCGGCUAGGAAGAGACCCUUCCGGGGACAGGUGAUGCCGGCCCACGCCCGGGGGCUACUGUCGCACCAGUGGCACCCGGGGUACCACCGCUGCGCGACGCGUGGCCCCCUCCCCCGGGUUCCCGGGAAGGUCUCAUCCCGGGGAGCGCCAACGAGCUUCCCGGCAAGCUACCAGCCCCGAAAUGGGCUAGCGGGGCCUCCCGGAAUAUUCCCGAUUAGGCACCUCCCGGGAAGCUGCUUCCCGGGAGGAGGUUCCCGGGCGCGCUGGGCCCGGGUGCUUCCCGGGCCGACUUGCGGGGACUGGAGGCUCCCGGACGCGUGCCCCCGCCUCGGGUCGUGGGGCCCGCUGGACAGCGCCACACGGGCGCGUGGCGGGCGCGGAACGCGCGGUCCCACCAAGGCAAGGAGUAAGGUGCGCGGCUCAGUAAACGAGCCGACCGACGGGUAGUUACCCGUCGGGUCGAAGGAACAGUGGUUGUUCAAUCCUACCCUAGGGUCUUAGGCCCCUAGCAGCGGAGGUGGCACCCAUGCAUGCCACCAACUCACCAGAGAGAGUCGCAUGCCUCCCCGCUGGACACUUGUAGCCCAUGCACCGUGGCACAUGUGGCAUCCCCUUGUGAAAGGAGGACCCAUGCCAACGGUCUGGAGGGUUUUUUUUUGACAGGUUAGUCAGUUGGUCAGUUAAUUGGUUCGGACAAAGCUCGCUCGAUAGAUGCUUAGUGGCUCCAGCAGGCAGCCAGCAGAGAGCGGUAAGGAGUGCCUACCCACUGAGAGAAAGCCCGGGAGCUUGCCCGGCAACCUGUAAACAUUUGAUCCGUAAUCAAUAUCAGCUCAGACAGGCAGGACGUAGGGUUUUACACCUCCGGGUGGCCCGAACCUGGGUAAAAAUCAUGCGUACAUCUGUUCUUGGACUAGCGCGUACCCCUAGCACUUUGCCUCGCCGGCCCAGUAGGGCCUCGUCGGCCGUGCCGGCGAUCAUCUGGUCUCCACCCCAGACGCCCCUACUGAACCUGAAAGGGGGACGUGGCUGCACGCCCCCGGUGUCGGAGCACCGAGCGACGACAGUUCCUAAUGUUGCUUGGGAAGAUAUAUCAAUGGAUUUUGUUUUGGGAUUGCCUCGAACUAAGAAGGGGAGGGAUAGCAUAUUUGUGGUUGUUGAUAGAUUUUCUUAGAUGGCACAUUUUAUACCUUGUCAUAAGAGCGAUGAUGCUACAAAUGUUGCUGAUUUAUUCUUUCGUGAAAUUGUUCGCUUGCAUGGUGUGCCCAAUACUAUAGUUUCAGAUCGUGACACGAAAUUUCUUAGCCACUUUUGGAGAUGUUUAUGGGCUAAGUUAGGGACUAAAUUGUUCGCUUGCAUGGUGUGCCCAAUACUAUAGUACUACAUGUCAUCCCCAAACAGAUGGACAAACUGAAGUUGUUAAUAGAACAUUAUCUACUAUGCUUAGGUCUAUUUUAAAGAAGAACUUGAAAAUGUGGGGAAAAUGUUUACCUCAUAUUGAAUUUGUUUAUAAUCGUUCACUGCAUUCAACCACAAAAUUGUGCCCAUUUGAAAUUGUUUAUGGUUUUAUACCUCGUGCACCAAUUGAUUUGUUACCUUUGCCAACUUCUGAAAAAGUUAACUUUGAUGCUAAGGAACGUGCUGAACUUAUAAUAAAAAUGCAUGAGACGACUAAAGAGAAUAGUGAGCGCAUGAAUUCUAAGUAUAAACUUGCGGGAGAUAGGGGCAGAAAACAAUUUGUGUUUGAACCUGGAGAUCUUGUUUGGUUGCAUUUGUGCAAAGAUCGUUUCCCUGAUUUGCGCAAGUCUAAGUUAAUGCCACGAGCUGAUGGUCCCUUUAAGGUGUUAGCGAAAAUUAAUGAUAAUGCAUAUAAACUUGAGCUACCUACAAAUUUUGGGGUUAGUCCCACGUUUAAUAUUGCAGAUUUGAAGCCUUAUUUGGGAGAAGAAGAUGAACUACCGUCGAGGACGACUUCGAUUCAAGAAGGGGAGGAUGAUGAGGAUACAACCACAGCCCCUACGGCACCUACACCUUAAGUACCGGAGAUACAUGGACCGAUUACUAGAGCUCGUGCAUGACACCUAAAUUAUCAGGUAUUUUCGUUCCUCGGUACUUCAUUUAAUAUUAAUGAGAAUAUGCUGCUGCCUAAGAUGGGUUCUUUUAUGUGUUUUAGGAAUGAAGGACCUAGCUUGGACCUCAAGGAUCAGCGUUGGACAGCAAACCAUGGAGGUGGCAGCGAGGUGGCGGGUGCUAGCUCAAGUGAUGAUUUCAGAACAUAGAAACCGCCAUAAGGAGAGAUGAGAAGAAGGCCGCAUCCUCUUCAUCAAUGGGAUUUCGGCCAAGUGGAGGAUUCUGCCUCCAAUGGGUAUGUAUGGGCCAAAAAUGAGGGUUAUAACUUUACUUUAUUGGGCCUAAGGCCAUGUAAUAGGGUCCAGUCAAUUUUUAGAUGUUUUCGUCGUGUUUUAGGAGGAUUCAUGGGCCGUUUCAGAGUCCCUCAAGGGCCUGGCCGAAAACCACCUAGUUCCCCUCCUAUUUAUACCCCAUGAGCCCCCCUAUGGAGCCUCGGGUUUGGAUUAGAUAAAGUUUAGCCUUUGCUACUUUCAUGUAAUCGCGUGUGUCGGUUAGACCACCUGUUUUACCGUCAUCAAGACUCCAACUAUAUUGAGUAUUCAGAUUCGUGAACCUUCAUAUCUCCUAUUCGCAAUUUCAGAUUGCUUUUCAUCUUGUUCUUGCUUGUUCUUCGAUUGCUUGCAGGAACAAAGACCUUCGUGGUCAGGUUGAUCGUGCCCCUGCGGGAUCAAUAACCUUCUGGAGUUAGUGUAUUGAUCGCUAAGGCGCUGCCUCCUAGGUUCUAGUCGGAUCGUCAACGUCACCUCUUACCAAAUCGAUAAUUAGGUAUCUCAUCGAAAGAUCGGGACACCCUCGAGGCUAUCAUUCAUCAUGACGUUACAUUUAACUUGGGUCUGAAUACUCACUAGCCCUUAAGAAACGGAAUGCACGUGAUAUUGUCGGAAUUUUAUGAUGGUACAUUUUUUUACACAUAACAAUAUGUAACUUAUGUAACACAUAUGUGAUAAAAAAAUAGUUUCGACGUUAAAUGGAAUAUCACGCUAGACACAGUAUGCAACAUCGAACAUCUUAUAUACAAAUGUAUUUAGAGUAUAAGAGGAAAUGAAUAUUGUUAUAAUACACUAAAAACAUAUGUCGAAUCUUCAGGAACUUAAAAAGAGGUUAGCAUACCCUUAUGUCAGUAAACCAAUUGAAAUUAUUCUAGACAGUCUGAAGGGCAAAGAAGGUAAAGUGCAUGAGGGAAUAUGUGAAAGUGUGGCAGCCCACGUGGUUUUAUAGGACUCAUGUCGGUCGUUGUUGUUCAGAUCUUGACACAUGUUCUACAAGGACAAUUAUGUUACUCCCUACGAUCUAUGUUACUUGUCGCAGUUUUGUCUAGAUAAAUAUGUAUCUAUAUAUUUAUACGCAUUUCAUUGUGAAGGUACAUGUGUAUGUAGACAAAGCCGUGACAAACGAAAUGGAUCAAAGGGAGUAUCUUUUUUAAUGUGAACAAUAGGCAAAAUGCCCGUGAUUACAUUCAAACGGAGUUAAAAAAAAUACGAAGGAAAACAAAACAAAUAAAAAUGUAAUGUUUUUUUUUGUGCUUAUCUUCUUAGUUCUAGAAUGUCUCAAUGUAGUUUUAACCCAAUUGGAAUUAACAUAUAAGUAGUGUUAUUAAAAAACAUUGAAUGAGUGCAUAUGAUAUGCUACACAAUGAAACUCAUGCACUAAACCGAAUACUAACAUACUUGCAAUUUCUCAACAAGCAACCGAGGCAGGGAACUUAGCAACAAAAAUUUAGCAAGUGGUGGUUGCAAAAAAUCGGAAACCCUCGACAUUGUUAUAAAUGUCGCCUACAUGUAUCGAUGGGGAAGUCAUGCUAACCACUCGCCUUCCAUUUCACUAUCGUAACUUUUUCCAAAACUUUGUUAAAGGUAAAUAGUAAAUGGAAUAUUUUUUUCAUCCUACUUGUAUCUUGUAUUUAAUUUUUGGAAGAGGCCAAGUGGUCAAGCUAGCUUGUAUUUUAUUACAAGGUUUCUAUUUAUAUUCUUGUUACAUUUAGUUUUAAAUUACUUGGUGUUUGUACUUUAUUGUGUUUAGGACAAAUGUAAUAAAAUAAGCAAAGUACAUGGUAGAGAGAAUGGGGGAGAUGAUUUUGUCAUCGUCCGGCUAAGCUUUUAGCUUGUAAAAGCAAGUAUUUGAAUCCUACGAACUCCCUCUGUCCAUAUUAAGUGACUCAAAUUUGCCGAAAUAUAGAUAUAUCUAUACCUAAAAAAAUUUAGAUACACGAAAUAUUUCGUCACUUCAUAUGAGACGGAGGGAGUAGUUUUGUUUGAUCAACAUUGCUCAUGAGAUUGAUCUAUUUUACUAUGACUAGGCUACUCAUUGCUCAAAGACCGUCAUUGUUUGACCCGAUAUAACUUUUGUACCACCCCUUAUGACACAUUUCCAUUUUAUAGGAUCUAAACGGGAUCCCACAUAUGGUCCCGCUUGUUGGGUAAUCUCUAAAUCUCAACUCAAAUUUUAAGCAAAAACUUGAAACUUAGCAUGUCCCCGAAUGAUCUAAAAGCGGGAUCCGCAUGUAUCUGUGCCUUCUUGGUACUACUACUAUCGGACAUUAUGCACUUUGCUGACCGCGACAACAAAAGAAGGAAGAAUAUCUACACUGCUGAAACGAGUAAUUUUGGAUAGAUAUAAAAGGUACAAACACGUGACAUCGGAUUCCAAGUCAAUGGUUUGAUUCAAGCCGAUGGGCGCUUCCCAACCGGCAACCACUCUAUCAAGAAAUCCCCGUCCAGCUAUAGCUGGAGGGAUCCGACGCGGUCCGCCGAUACAGCCACACAAGCGCCGCCUUGGGCUUGGGUCGGAUCAUCCACCCCCUUGGAGCCAAACACGCAGGGUGCGAAAGAGGAAACGAACCGGUAAUUUCCCCCCUUCGGAUAGCAACCAAACAAAAUUCCAAAAACCGGCUAGCGAAGAAGAGGUGGAAAAAUACCAUUCCCGUAUUUAUAACCCCACCCUUCCUGUUGCGGGCACGCCGCCCAAACCCACAACUCCCAAAUCCCACACGCUCGCCUGCGUCUUCUCCAGAUUUGGCGACUCCACCAACGAAGCAACGCCGCCAGAUCGGAGGGGCCCGAUCUCGCUGCCCGGCCUUCCUUCCCCAGGUGAACUCCUGCUCCCCUUCCCUGGUCUCCUCGAACCUGCGUCGUGUCCUGCUCCUCCGAUCCGCGCGGUCUUCGUCCUCGGCGAGGAGGCGCCCGGCCGGCGCGUGAUGUGAUCUGACGCGCUGGCGUGGAUCGAUGCGAGUUUUUUUUUCCCGUCCUGCUUGUUUUUGCUUGGUUUUAGUUGUGCGAUCUGCCGUGCUCGGUUUCCGGUUUCGGCGCUCCCGGGCAAUGCGAUGCGCGCUUGGGAAUUGCGGCAGCUACCUCCGUAGAUCUGGAUCAUCUGGCCGCCGGGAAGGGGUCCGCGGUGCCUCGUGAAUCAUGCCUGGGUUCGACCUGGUAAGAGGAUCCAUGCUGCUCCGUGAUGUGGAAUUCCGUGCGCCCGCGAGGAUUUCAAAUCGGGCUCCUGGGCUGCUCAUGUUUCGUUUGUUCGGACCCAUAACCUCUCAGACAACCAACUGGAGUGCAGGUGUAUGUGUGCUUAUCGGGUUCCCAGACAACCUAGGGAUAGGAUCGCUUAUUUUGGCAACUAGAUCGGGGCAACGUCUACCUCUAGUAUUUCCCCUAUAGUCUCUAAUUACUAAAGUGGAAAGUAGUUAUACUGUCUUGGAAAAACUAGAUAUAUCCAAUAUUAAGGGAAAGAGGCUAUAUGACAAGUGAAGCAUGAGAUAUCCUAUGAUAAUUUUCCAGCCUAACAUAUCUGUAAUUUUUCACUUACUAUGCUGAUUGACUGUUUGGCUUUACUAAACUGCAUGUUUUUUCACACCAGAAACGAACACAACACCAAGUACCACCAUUGAUAAUGUUCAAUAAAGUACCACUAUGAACAGAUGAUGCUGUGCAAUCUCCAUUCCAUUUAUCGCGCUAGCCUGCAAGUAGCGUGCAUGUAUCUGAUUAUCUGUGAUUUGGUUUAGUGUACACCGCACAACCUUGGCCACACAACGUGAGUCUUGAGUUAUGACCUGCAUUCCCCAAACCCAUGUGCGUGUUUGCGUAAGACAACUCAACCUCGCACCAGAAUUACAUCAGUACAUAUCCUUUCUGCUUAUAUCUAACUACCUUUCCCUCUUUGAUGAGUACAAAAGGAAGAAACUGACAAGUUCCAGAAAUUUCCAAUUAUGAUAGACAAAACAUCAAAAAGAAAACAAUUGUGUCUACUAUUCAUAUAAAGCCCUCCUCUUCCUCUCCAAUAUGGAAAGUAAGUUUUGUCUUCCAGAUCCACUGCUGCCAACUUUGGAGAUGUCACUUCAUUUUAUCCCCGCUUCUCAGGUGAAGCAAUCUGGUCUCUUCGCUUUCUUAAGUAAAAGCCUUAAAGUAGAUUUGGAUUUGGUCCUUUAUUUCCUGUUCCUGGGAUCUGUGGGUGUGUCAUUGGGUUUCACCUCGAAUCACAAAUGUUCAGAUCCUGGGAUUUAUGCCCUUUGCUUUUGGGGUUAGGAGGACAGAGUUGUGUAGUUCCAUCGAUCACUCGAUCUAGAUUAAACGACCCCCUUGAAUCACAUGUUCAGAUUAUGAUAGUGUGAUCUGCAUGUUUUGUGAUUCCCACCUCAGUUGACCUAUUUGCAGUUACAUGUAAAUGUUAAUUGCACUGUUAGUCUGGUUGCUGGUGAGAUUAAAAUGGUUGGUGUCCAUCCAUUUGAGAUUAUAAUGCUUGGUGCCCAUCUCCCACGGUGAUCUAUUUCAUUUCUUGUGUAUAGUCCCCAUCCAUUUGAGCCGUGCAUCCACUACUUCUGUAACCUAGAUUUUGAUUUACUGACUUCAAUAAAUUUAUUACAUUAUACUAGCUGGUAAUUUCUGCCACACAGUGGUGUUCAUGUUAUUGGGUUACUGGGGUAUCCCCGAAACAGAUUUUCUUUUAUUGCUUUCUCUCAAUGCACAGACUACUAUUUUUUUGCAAGUUUUCAGGAAUUAAAGGGGAAAAAUAGCAAAGUAGAUCUGUUGCAUUUUCUUUUAGACCAUUUCGACUCAGUCUGUGGUUGACAAGUUGCUGAACUGUGCUGUGCUUAACUUAUUUUAUAACCUGCUGUGCGAAAUUAUACUGAAAGCAGGAAAAAGUUGGUUAGCCAAACAAUAAGAUAGACAAAAGUGGUUAACAAACGGGAUUAUGAGAAUCCACCACAAUGCUAAACACAGUCUUCCAUGUUUGCUUGUUUACUAAUAGUUUAUUUAUACCUAUCUGCAGGGACAUGGGAAUGGAGGUUGUUGGAGCUGAACCCGCACCAGCACAGGUUAAAGUAGCUGAUGGAGAAGUGAACCUUUUUCAAGACAAGGAAAGUAAAGCAACAGCAAAGGAACGUGAGGAGGCAGCUGUUUUUGGUUCAGACAAUGGCAAAGCUGCAGCAAAUGCCACAAAUGACAUGGCACCUCCAAAGGACGCAGUGGACGAGUGGCCUGAACCUAAGCAAACCCACACCCUCUACUUCAUCAAGGUCCGAUCAUUUGAGGACCCUAAGCUGAGAGCAAAACUUGAGCAAGCUGACAAGGUCUUCCAAAAUGAGAUCCAAGUUCGUGGCAAGAUUUUUGAGGCUAUAAAAGCCAAGAAGGUAUUGUUUGGAAAGCUUCCUCAUAGAAAAAGGAUAUACGUUGCGUAGUCUUCAUUUUAAGUCAACUAGAAGUUUCAUCUCCCAAAACUUCUUUAAAGUGAGUGCAUGUCCUAUUGCUUUCCUUUUCUCGUUGAAUUAGACAAUAGGGGAGCAGCUUGUUUGCUUUAAGCAUGGUGUUAUAACUUAAUGCAUACUUUCUCUGCAGGUUGAGCGUUCCAGUAUUAUCACGGAGUUGAAGCCACUGAGUGCUGAGAACAGGCAAUAUAAUAAAGCAUUUACUGAGAAGGUGGAGGAAAUGAAACCUUUUACAAACCGUUUAGGCAAGUUCCGCGAUGAAAAUAAUGCUAUGAGGGCGGAGGGUGCAGGUUUAUGCUCUUCGAUCGAAGAGCUUGAGCAAACGGUAUGCUUAACCCUUUCAUAACUCAACUUCUUCUCCUCCAGUAUUUUGAUUUUAUGUUUGAUUCUCCCUAGAUCAAGAAAUUGAACGACCGCAUAUGUCACGAGAGCAUAUCCUUAGACGAGGAGAAGAAGUUGAUCAAAGAAAUUAAGAUUCUUGAAAAAACUAGACCGAAGGUCACUUCCAAUGCUGCUAAGAGAGCUAAAAUGCAAGAUGCGGUGGUUGAAAGAGAUGCCAUACAAGAUCAGGUCAAAGUAAGUAUUCUAUGCUUCAGAUUCUUCUUUAUUGGGUACCUCCUGACUAAAUAAAUAUUAGAUAACAUUUUUCUUGUAACUUAUCCUUUAGAUCAUUGGGGAAGGCAUUGAUGGAGUGAAGAAGGAGCGACAAACAGUCAGAGCUAAGAUUAAGGUCCUGGAGGACGAGCUGAAGGUUGUUGAUGCUGAGAUUAAUUCGCUUCAAGAAGAUUUAAAUGUAGCUUCUGCCAAAAAGGAUAAGGCGUAUGCGACAUUGAAUGAAUUGAGACAAGCGCGUGAUGCUAACGUAAGGCAGCAUACCUUCAACAUUUCUCAUGCUCAUGAUAAUGUUUGCUCCUGCAGUAUUGUUAUCUCCUAUGUUUGGGCUAAGAAGUGAGUUCACACAGUUUUUUGGUUACUUCAGUUGUGUUACCGUUCUCAUUGAAUAUGUUUAUGCAAUGGCGCAUCUUCUUUUGCUUGCCUGCACAGAACUUCAGUUUCCCCUUGAGAUCAUUUUUUCGUUUCCAAAUUUGAUGCUCUCUGUCACGACAACACAUUGACAAUUUAUUUAACAGAUGAAUUUCCUGCAUAAUACUUGUGCCUUUGAUUUUUAGGUCACAUAAUAUUAUUGGAACCUUAUUAGGUGAUUUGGAUAAGUUUCUUCUUUUCUUAAAUGUAUCAUGGUUUGUAGUAACUGCUUGAAAUACCAGAGGUUGUGGUCUUUUUACUUUGUUUUUGAAACUUUCUCUAUUUUUUUAUUGAAUUUUAUGACUUAGUGUGAGACAUGCAUUUUUGGUCUGAACAGUAAAUGAAGCACGGAAUGUAAAUUGCAGAAAAGAAAUGAAAUUGGACUCUUUUUCAUCUUAGAUCAAUCAAAUGACUACCUAUACUGAACUAAUCCAGAAUCCCUUUUAGUAAUCGAUUCUUAUUCUCUACCUUUUAAAGGAAUUUCCCUAAUAAAGUAGACCCAUGAAUUAAUCUAAGCAUCAAUUAAAAAAAAGACAUGCAUUUUACGAAGUCUCUCGCAAAUAAUGAUUAUUACUACCAUAUUGUUAGUAAAUUCUUCUGUUUGUUUUCUAUAUUUAUGUGUGGGGGCUAUAUUUAUUGACUCUUCAUCUUGAUCAGAACGCAUCCUUCCAUCAAAACCGCGCAGUUUUGAUCAAAGCUAGGGAUUAUUCUUCUCGGAAUCAGGCAGAAGAAUUGCAAGAGCUCCACAAGACUGAGGUUUGCAUCUACAAUCUUCUUUUGUAACUUCAUCUUUCAUUGAUAUAUGUCCGUACUUAUUGUUAUUAUACUUUGGUAGGUCGAGAAGUUCAUGGCACAGUGGUGCAGCAGCAAGACCUUUAGAGAUGACUAUGAGAAGAGGAUCCUCUCCUCCCUCAAUGCCCGACAGCUGACCCGCGAUGGUCGGAUGAGGAAUCCUGAUGAGAAGCCCAUAUUUAUCGAAACACAACAGUCAGCACCACCUGUGGAACACGAGCCUGUCCCAGUAAAAAUGCCUUCAAAACAAGCAAAGGAAGCUGCUGCGCCACAAGCUCUUGCUCCCAUAGAUGAGCCAUUUGCAAAAGCAUCUGCCAAGUCAGCGAAGAUAAAAGCUGAUGUGGAAGCUGAUGAUGCCUAUGAGGCUGAGCCUCCAAAGGAGAAGCCAAAGCCUAAAGAGGUUGAUGCAGCCAAGUUAAAAGAGAUUAAGAGACAGGAGGAAAUCGAGAAGAAUAGACUUGCUUUGGAAAGGAAGAAAAAGCAGGCUGAGAAGCAAGCAGCGAAGGCUGCAGCCCGAGCACAAAAGGAAGCUGAGAAAAAGCUUAAGGUAGAAUCAUUACCAUCUCGCUCUCUCUCUCUGCUAUUAAUGUACAUAAAUUAAAUGUCAAAUAGACACUCCCAUAAUGUAACCAUUGUGAUGAACUUUUUCAGAAAGAGGAGAAGAAAGCAAAGAAGAAGACUGGUGCAGGUGAUACUGAUGAACCAACUGACUCUGACACCAAGUCUGAUGAAGCAGCGGACACCCCAGGUGAGGAUGAGUUGGCUCCAGUUUCUGCCACAGUGAACAAAGAACAGAAGGAGAGUGUCCGGUACAGAAGUGCUGUUACCAAGAGCAAGGCCCCGCUGCCGAAGGCAAUUUUGAAGAGGAAGAAAGGCCAGUCGUACAUGUCAUGGGCUACCCCAGCUGUUGCCAUAGCCGUGGGUGCCGUGCUGGUCGCCCUGCUCGCGGUGCUGGGCUACUACCAGUACUACCGCCCGGCAAGCACUAGCAACUGAUUGAAGGAAAGGCCUGUGCACCUGGCGCCCUCUCGAGUAUGAUGCUUAUGGAUCAAUUUUGCAGGUGAGAGCAACAGAGUGCAUGGUCUCCUGAGACCUGAACUGAAAAACCGAGAACCUAUUAGUUUCUGUUCUGUUAGUUUGUUCGGUAGAGUCGGAGAAAAGUUGCUGUUAAUUUUGGUUGGGACUUCAACUCUAUACUGCGAGUGAUCUCAUGUACUUUAAAGUGAAGUAUAGAUUUCCGUCUGAAAUAAGUAUGCACGUAAACAUGCUGUUUGUGCAUGCGUAUCAGCGUAUGCAUUGAUUGUCCAGGGGCGAAUCUGUGCUGGUACGAGAGUCAAUUCAGCUUGGAUCAGCCCCGGCGGUCAUCCUUUGCUUGCCCAAACGAGUCGUGCCGCAUACCAAAUGAGGUCUUAAUUAGUUUAGACAAUUGCAAUAUACCUACUCCGUCCGGUCUUUAAAACUUCUACUAAAUCAUAGUAUUUUUUAACUUUGCGCUUAUUAUGAAUUGAAGGGAGUGUUUCGUAACUUUGUGUAUGACACUGAUGUUUGGAUGUAUACAUUGGGCCUAGGUAUUAGACAUUGGCUUGCAAAAAGUCCGAAUGACAAGAUUCAAGGCGUUUGGUUGGUUAAGUAUUCAUUUGUGGCAUUCGGUCUCAAUAUUGGCCUAGCAGGCAAAACUGGGUCGGAGUCCAAGUCGAGGUCAACCCCUUGACAUCGUGGGGUAUUCGGGAUUUCCUGGCUUCAUGGACACACACCCGUGCUCGAGGCUUGAUAGACGCAUUUCCUUAUCCGUUCUAUUCUCUCGCGCUACCUCCUUCUCCCUCUAAUUCUCACGCGACAUACCUAGUCCUUUUUCGGGCAUGACUUUUCUAAAACAGUAGGCAGGUGCCUACUCGGGCAAUAGUGUCCGCAACAGUACUCGGGACAUGCUAGUUGUAAAUUGGAUGUCAUGCUAAUAAAACUGAUCCAGAAUGCAGUAGCAAAAUGGACGAUCAGUAACCAUAACAGAAGAAAACAAGAGCAGAAAGAGGAGAAGGAUUAUAUUGAUUGAAAAAAAAAUGCACUCACAAUCACUGAAUUUGGUUUCGAUUCUCUAUUGAGUCACUGUAUUUUGAAAAUCGUUAGUAACGGUCCGUGAACUUGACGAAAUAUCGUACAUAUGAUCACCAAUACCAUAUUUUAUACGUAUGUGUCCAUAGCAUGUGCAAGCUUAGCUCGGAUUUUUGCAUUUUGCCUUUUUUUUUCAGGAGGCAAAUUGCAAAAUCCAAAGUGAGCUGGCAUAGGCUACAAACCCAUACGUAUAAAAUAUGAUACCGAUGACCGUACCUGUAAUAUUUCGUCAAGUUCACGGGCGCAACUUUGGAUUUUCAAAAUACAGCUAAUAAUCAAGUUGAACGAGCGUGAGUGCAUUUUACUCGUUGGAAAAUUCUUAUGUACCUCCCCGAACAUCUGAGAAAGAAGAAAUCGCAGCCCCACCGGCCCACAGGAAAACCAUGGACGGCGGCGGCGUUCGUCCGUCGCUUCCUUCGACUGCGGCGGCUGCGGGCGCCGGAGGCGCGGACGAACCUCGCGACGCCCGAGUGGUGCGGGAGCUCCUCCGGUCGAUGGGUCUCGGCGAGGGCGAGUACGAGCCGCGCGUCGUGCACCAGUUCCUAGACCUGGCUUACCGCUACGUCGGCGAUGUGCUCGGCGAUGCCCAGGUCUACGCGGACCACGCAGGUAAGGCCCAGCUCGAUGCCGACGACGUCCGUCUCGCUAUUCAGGCGAAGGUCAACUUCUCCUUCUCCCAGCCGCCGCCCCGUGAGGUACUUACCAAUCUCACAUGGAAACCUAGCAUGUCUUCUUUAAAUUCGGGAAAUACAACCCCUUCUAGGUUUCCUGGGCUAAAAUGGUAGCUUUCCCCAUGGAUUGGUGUUCCCCGUUCUAGCCCAAUAACCCAGUUUGUUUAAUUAACGUUUACUGGAUUAGCAGGCGGGAGACCAUGCUUGUCCGUGUGCUAUACAUUUUUUUGGGGGAUGUUGAUGAAUUCACUUUUUGCCAAAUUGCUCUCUGGCUCUGGACUUGCAUCUGUGUAGAUUCCGGAAAACGACUAGCACUAUUCAGUGAUUUUUUGUCAAGUUCCUGCUCACUGAGAUCACUAACCUGCUUUCGGUCACUUGGUCUGAAUCAUAGACUUGUUCCUUUUCCAAGACAAUAUCUUGUUGGUGUAUUCACCCAGCGGCGCCCUGUAAGUGUAACUCAACUCUAGGAAUCUCAGGGGGGGCGGAACCAAUCGUUUCUCAUGUGUUGUAUAGCAGAAUAUUUUUGUCUCUUUCUCUCUCUCUCUCCAAAAAUAAGCUAAACAGCGUAUAGUUAUAUAUACAGCAGCAAUCUCGCAUGUGCAAUGCAUGUUUUCAUCUUGAGCUCCCAUGUGAAUGUAUUGCUUUGCAUCACAAUAAAAAAUACUCGACCCUUAGGGUAAGAAACCCAGAAGACUUUUUUUAGGUCGAGGAAAGGCCCCGAACGCUGUCUCCACCCACUGCGGCGGCGCAAUUGGUGACCUGACACGACCAGGGAACAAACUUGGCGAGGGGCCUUUAUUUGUGAGAACCAGGGUUCGAGCUUGGGUUGGCAGCCCCAACACAAGGGGGGAAUACCACCCUGGUAUCCGCAUGUUCUCGCUUUGCCUCAUAAUAGCAUAUCAAAUGCAAUCACUGAAAUAGUAAAUACAUUUACAGAGAAAGUAGUCACUUUUAAUAUUAUUUCUCAUGAUAUAACCAUACUUUGUCUUGAUAGUAGUACCAUUCUGCAAGGAACAUCAGUACUACACUUUGAACUGGUGGAAAAUCAAUAUUAAUGGAGAGCUGUCCCUUUUUAUGACAUUCUCGUAUUCACACCAUGAAUAGUUGAUUCUAUGCACAUUGAUUCUGAAGAGAACCAAGAUUUAUUGCCUUGGAGUGUGAAUUUUGGAGAGCACGGGUAGGAGAUAUAUCAUGAGGUGUUAACUAGAGGUGUUCAUUGAGGAAGUUAUUGUCUAAUUAAUGCUGAAUUUGUUAGGGUCCAACCAAAUUUGUCAGUCGUUGGAUAGCUAGACGGAGGGUUCAUAUUUUUUGGAUUCUGCUCACUUGGCUUUUUAUAUUGGUGUAAAUACAGGAAGUAAUUGAAGUUAUGUGCUACUCCCUCCAUCCAAAAAUACAAUGACAAAUCCUAAUCUGAGAAAUCCAAAAAAUACACGGACAAAUUGAUCCUUGAGCUCCCAUGAAACAUCCCUAUAUACUCGUUACUGUGCAGUUGGCCUAGCGGGAAAUUUACUCAGGGGUAAAAUGCAUUGACUUUUAACGCCCUUCUCAGGAAUAAUUUUUCCUUUGUCCCCUCAAUCCUCAAAUUUGUCUUUGUACUUUUGGAUGCAGGGGAUAUAAAUAAGAGGAAAUAUAUACAAGACCAAUGCUUUUAGAUAGCCAGUUUUGCAUGCCAGGUUUAAGAGAUCCUACGUUUGAUGAAUAACCAGAUAAAACUCUUCGAAUAAUAUUUUCGAAGAUCUACUUGUCUGGCUUGACUCGCGUAACUGCUACAUUUCUUGAAUGGCAACUGCCUACAUAACUUGUCUCCCUCUUUUCCUGGCAGAAAGUAUCAGACCUUAUUUAGUUCUUGGCCCCUUUUUUUAUUCCAAUUCCUUCCUGUGCUGAGUUCUUUACAGCCUGUGCACGCACGAGAUAACCAGUGACUGAGGAUGCUCUCCAUAGAGAGCACUCUUGACAAGUGGACCUUAAACUUCCUGUAGCAUGUCACUUAGAGACAUUUGAGUUAUGGAACAUUCCAAGCUUUCACCAUAUUUGUGGACUCCUAUUGGCAAUCUUAAUCCAACAGACGAACGGCAGGUGAUGGUGCGAGGAGGUCUAGGAGAGGGAGAAGUUACGGAAGAUGAAUUUAGUCCCUGUCUUGUUAGGAAAGUUCAGUUGAGUCCAUGUCUUGUUAAGAAAGAGUUCAGUUGUGUCCAUGUCUUGUUAAGAAAGUUGGAGACGUAGUUUUGGUCCAAACUAUUAGGGAGCACGAACAGCUUAUUCUAUAAAACCAUAUGAAUUGUAAUAUUUAAGAAUUGAGCAAGAAAUAAACAUCUUAUACAAUUCCGUCAUUAGCCUUCUUAUUUCCCUAGAGAUAGCACCGUUCCCUUUCUUCUCUGCCGGUCAUGCCAUGCCUCCAUCUUUCCUUUUUUGGAAGUUUUUUUGUGGAAAGGUGCCUCCAUCUUUGAAUUCACAUAUCAGCCCCGAAACCAAUCAUUGCUGCAGCUUGUACAAUCUAUCUGCUGCCUAUUCCUGGCAGAGUCAUUUCGGAAAAUUGAAUUUCAAAUAUGAUGGAUAAAUAACACGAAUCUGUUCCACAAUAGGGACACAUCAAAGAUUUUUCGUGGUGGUUAGAGUUAGAAGCCACCAUCUCCAUGCAGAGAUCGCCAGUUUGAGUCUUUUAUUUCAUAAAAAUCGUUCAGACUUCUGUCAUGGGCAUACAUCCCUAUAGGGGCGCAGCCCUAGCUAUCCAAAUAAGGGAUGCUAUCCCAGUAGUAUCUCCUAAUUUAGUUAGGCAAGAGAUAAGAUAGGAAUAUUAAGAUAUGGUUUGUUAGGAAAGUAGAGAUUAGUUCCCUGGAUGUGAAGUUAAGUAUUCCCUAUAAAAGGUCCCCCUGUGAUCAUUCCUUGGGGUGCGGCUACCUUCAUGGAGCUGUCGCGCCUCUUGGGUUCAGGGUCAUCCCGUACAAGCCCUAAAACCAUUAUCUUCCAUGUCAUGAACCUAGUUCAUGACAAUUUGGUAUCAGAGCAGUCGAUCUCCACUGCACCUGAAGCCACGAAGCUCUCUCCUUUCGCCUAGAUUGAAGCUACAUAUGAUAGGAUUCAAGCUGCAUUCGACAAACUACAAGACCAGUUGGCCAAGGUUGAAGCUACGCUUGACAGAUUACAAGCAAUCUGUACAAACGUCCUCGUGAGGGUGGAGCAGCGGAAAGCAGCCCGCCGACAUCCAUAUCUCCAAUAGCUGCAGCACUGCUGAUCUCUUCUCCUUCGGCAUUGCCUUCACUGCCGCUGUUGGUUUCAUCGUCGCUGCCCCUAUGGGCGACUCAACUAAAGCCAGUCCUGGCGGUAGUGCAACCUGCGGCAGCAGCGUGUUGGCCUUGCAGAACGCCUUCGCUAACUAGCAGCUCAAGGACGAGCUGCAAGCUCGGCAGGGGUAUGAGGUCAAGUACUGGAGGUGGUGUUGCUGUGCAUGUCUUCAAGCUUGCAAGAAGCAGCAACAAGCGCCUUGGAUGCCGAGCAGCAGAGAAGAAGUGCCUCUCAGGGCAGGCGGCAGGGAGGCGAUGUCUCUCAGCGCAGGCAAACACGGUGAGACGUACUACAGCAGCAUGGAGAUUCCUGCCUCCAGGCAGCCACUUCAAAAAGCAUCAGGGGCAUAGAUGGGUCAUCCUCCAAAGUUAUAGGUGCUGCACAACCAUGACAACCAUGGCCAGCCAUCAGCUUGGGGCCUUCUCGGACGAGCUGCUCAAAAAGGGGGUGUAAUGUCAUGGGCGUACAUCCCUAUAGGGGCGCAGCCCUAGGCAUCCAAAUAAGGGAUGGUAUCCCAGUAGUAUCUUCUAAUUUUAUUAGGCAAGAGAUAAGAUAGGAUAUUAAGAUACGGUUUGUUAGGAAAGUAGAGAUUAGUUUCUUGGAUGUCAAGUUAAGAGCAUGGUUAAGAGUCUUCCCUAUAAAAGGGCCCCUUGUAAUCGUUAUGAGGCAAGUCAAGAAUAAAUCAAUCUAGUUAUCACCCUGCCCUUGAGGUGUGGCUACCUUCAUGGAGCUGUCGCGCCUCUUGGGUUCAGGGUCACCCAGUACAGGCCGAGGCUCUAAAGCCAUUAUCCCCCAUGUCAUGAACCUAGUCCGUGACAACUUCACUCUUAGCUGUCCAUGGGACCAAAAUAACAGUCAGUGUUGCAUUAAAACUAAUAAGCAAACAAUAGGAGGGGAUGUGGGAUUCAAACCAAUAGUGUCUCAGGUAGCACUCUAGCACCCUACCACUAUGACAGAGAUGAGUUGUUACUUACAGGUGAUACACCUUUAUCCUCGGGAUAUCUGAAUAGAUAAAAACCUUUCCCCUUUUGAUGGGUGACCGGGGAGCACUGAGUCCAGUAGGGGCAGAAGGAUUAGGAAGGAUGAGUUAGAGCUGAAUUUGGUCCGUGUCUUGUUAGGAAUGUUCAGCUGAAUCUGCGGAUGGUUAGGAAAGUGAAUACUUAUCUGUUAAAACGCCCCAAAUCUUAGGGAUCAUGUGCGGGUAGUUCCAGAAAAGCAUAUACAACGAAAGGCGCACAAUAAAUAAACAACCACUUUUAUUAGUGUAGAUAUACCGAUGACACUGUAGCAGUCCUGUUUCUCUCUCUCUCUCUCUCUCUCUGACUCUCUCUCUGCGGGCACCACCCUAAACCCUAACCUCUCAUUUGCCGCCGCCUCUGUGUCGCAACCUGCUUUGGCUCGCAUCACACCUCACCUUCGAUGACUGCCAUGUCCAUGUCGUCGCCAUCUCUGGCUCGCGUCAUCUGUGCUGCCGGAGCCACAUCAUCUCCUCUUCCUGCUCAGCACGCCUCCACCAGUUCUGUGCAGCCGCCUGUAAUAAUCAACUCUGGCUUGCCUCCGUUGGAAACGAAGAAGGCCUGGGGCAAUUUUGUGAAAGAAAAAUUUGAGUGUUGGCAAUUGAAAAGCAGUCAAGUGAGUGACUGUCAGCGAAACCUUAUUUAUUGAGAUAUAUUCUGUAUAUUAUAUAUAGCUUCCGUUAGAUUCAGAGAUUGUUUUGUGGAUCAAGUCAAACAACCGUAUAGAAGGGAUAGCAACGUAUCCAUUAUGAAUCAAGCAAGCAACAAUUAAAUCUAUUCCCUGUAACCAGGGUUCACAUCAGAAUUUCAAGAAUCACCACCAUGACCUCAAACAUUGCGCCUGAUUGCCAAUUCACACCCCUUCAAUCCACAACACAUGCUACAGGUAGUAGACUAUAUUUUUUGGGGGGCUGAAUGGCUGGACUUUUAUAAGAACACGAAGCAAACAAGGGAUGAUUGUUAGUAUAGUUAGGCUGGCAUAUGAAGAUAUUACCUAAUUUUUCAUGAACGAUAUUAGAGUUUCUAGCCUUGAUUAUCGUGUACUUGCUGACAUGUUAGCUCCUAAAAGCGCAACUCAGGAAAUUCCUCCAUAUAUACAUGCUAUGAACAACUGUCGUGCUUAUGCUUUCAACUCAAGUGCUUGUUUACUAUUUUGUCAGAUCCUUGAAACUUCAAGAAUAUGCAUAGGUCUGUUUUAGACUUUUAGUCUGACAAGUCAGUUUCUGUUUUGGCAGGUUCUCCUUGAGUUGGCACGCAGCCGGAACAAAAUUCCGCUGCCCAAGUCAAUUGCUCCACCUGGCUCGAUCCCUCUGCCACCUGAGCAGGACACAUUGUUGAGCCAAAACUACCAACUCUUGCCCCCACUGAAGGCGCCAACUCAGGUUGAGGAAACAGAAGAAGAUGACAACGAGGAGGUCGAUACAAACCCUGCCAACCCUAAUCCAAACUAUUUGAGGCAGGACCAGAGGGACAACGAGCAACAGCAGCCUCUGCCUCAUACUCAAAGUCAGAGGGUUUCAUUCCAACUUAACGCUGUGGCUGCUGCAGCUGCAAAGCGUCCUAGAAUGACAACAAUUGAUCAGUUGAACAUGGGCUAACUGUCAGGUCGUCAGCUGGCUCCCAGUCAGAAAUAAACCUCUGCAAGUAGUUGUCGGGCAGAGCUCUAUUCUCUGCGGUUGAACAGGCUUCGAGAUGCAUGCUGCUCAAUGCAUUCUCUCUAUGGUUGAACCUCGUCCACUGUGGGGCAAGUCUGGCCAACUCUGUCUGAACCUAGUAUUAGGACUUUUCAGAUCCAUGAGACUUCAAGCCGUAGUGUUCUCUGGGAGAGACUGUUUUUAUUUAUUUAUGCUAAACCAGUAAUUUGCCUUCCAGAAACAUCUUGUAUCCGUUGUAGAAUUUUGAAAAUAAUAUGUUCAAGAUGUUCUUGGCUGGCAUUGUGAAUAUGAAGUCCCCUGUCGACUAGUUGAAUGAGAGCCAAACAGGGCCUCAAUUUUUUUUUUCAAAUCGGGCCUCUCCCCAUUUUCCAUUUCAUUCAAAACGGAAAUAACAAGGUCUCAAAUAGUUAUACAGCAAGAGCAGGAAUGAAAGAAAAGCAGGAAGAGACGGAUCCGGGCACCAGCAGGAAACCCACUGCGCCCAGCCCGGCUCGGCCUGGGCACCAUGGAGCGAAAACCUGCUGCCACCGAAAAGCCAAGACUAUCCUAACAACAGUUCAGAGACGUUUCCACCAACAUCAACACUAUCUAGCUUAUUACAGACCCACACGAGGGCCGAAAGUAUAACAGCCAACGAGCAGUCAGUUUUUCAGCGACGAACAGUAUAACUGGAAGUGAUAUGAAGUCUAGUGACGGCGCCGAAGUUGAGUCGUAGAUUGCAUGAGGCCAGUCGCUCCAUCCUUGAUCCCCUGCUUCAUGCGCGCGUCCUUCUGAAGUUCAGCCCAGUAUUGCAGGAAAGAGCAAAGUAAGAAAACCACAGAAGUAGGGUGAUGUAAAACUUUCUUCUCAAAACAAACAGCAUUUCUUGUUUUCCAGAUGGCCCAGCACACAGCACCAAUGCCUUCAAUGAAAUAAGAUUGAAUACCAGGAACAAAGCGUCUAAUCCAGAUGAAGUAUUGCCAGGGGUUCUGAGGAACCAGAUCAGUCCCGAAAACGUGUCCAAUACAGCCCCAAACCACCCUAUAAACCGUGCAUUCAAAGAAGAGGUGCAUUAAAGAUUCCUCCUUAUGACAAAAAUAGCAUUUAGGAUUCCCAGGCCACUGUGUCUUGACCAUGUUAUCUUUAGUAAGAAGGGAGUUCAAAAACAUCUGCCAGAGGAAGAUUUUAAUCUUUAAAGGAAUCCUAGCUUUACAAAUAAAUUCAUAGUUGGGGCCAACAAUAGUUUUGCAAAGUUGUUGAUAAGAAAAUUUCACAGUAUAACAUUCUUUACUGUCCCAUUUCCACAUGAAAGAGUCAGGAGCAUCAGAUGAAACAACAUCUCUGAGAAUAGAAUUUAAGUCAGCUCAUUGAUCAGCCAGGGAGCCAUGUAACCAUCUAGAGAAGGUGACAGAUCCCAGAUGUUGUUUAAAAAAGGAAACAGAAACAAGUACAAUUCAGGGAAUUUAGCAUACAAGGGUUCAUCCCUCCACCAAAUGUCCUCCCAAAAUCUAAUGAUAGUGUCAGAACCUAUCUUACAUACUCUACCAGAGAGAUAAAGAUGUUUAACUUUCAUCAAAUCUUUCCAAUAGGGAGAGUCAGUGAUUUUAACAGUGACAGAGGCAACAGAGGAUUGUCUCAAAUACUUUCCUUUAACAAUUUCUUGCCACAUGCCUUUCUUAUUGUCCAAUCUCCACCACCACUUACAAAGCAAGGCAGUAUUAAAAGAACUAAUUCUUCUAAAACCAAACCCCCCUUUCUCUUUAGGUCUACACACCCUAUCCCACUUCACAAGAUGGUAUUUUCUUUUAUUACUAUUGCUUGCCAGAAAAAAGUUCUUCUAGAUUUGUCAAUCCUUUCAAUCACGGUUUUUGGAAGCCUAUACAUGAACAUAUGAUAAGUUGGAACACUCUCAAGGCAAGAUUUGAUCAAAACAGCUCUGCCCCCAGCAGACAAGGAACCCCCUCUCCAGGCAUCAAGCCUUUUUGCAACCUUAGAACAGAGGAAAUCCCAAUGCUUAAUAAGAAGUCUAGACCCUCCCACUCGUACCCCUAAAUACAUAAAGGGAACAUCCCCAAUUUUGCAGCCAAAAAGAUCAGAGUAAGCCUGAGCAACAUCAUUAUCUCCACCAAUGAUAUAAGGCUCACUUUUAAGGAAGUUAAUCUUUAAGCCAGACAUAAGCUCAAAUGUGUAGAGUAACAAUUUCAGCUUAAUAGCUUUCUCCAUGUCAUGUUGAAUACAAAGGAUGGUGUCAUCUGCAUAUUGCAGAAUGGUAAUGCCAGUAGGGAAAAGAUGAGGAAUAAGAUCACAAAUCAUGUUAUUAGAUUGAGCCCUAAGGAUCAUUCUAGGGAGACAAUCAGCUGCAAAGUUGAACAGGAAGGGAGAGAGGGGGGCUCCCUGCCUUACCCCUUUGUGGCUCAUAAAAUAAGGACCCAACAUUUCAUUCAUCUUGACACAUACAGUGGCAUUACAUAGAACCAUUUUAAUCCAUGACAUCCACGAGGAACAAAAACCUCUAGCUUCCAUGCAGGAAAGGAGAAAAUUCCAAUCAACCUUAUCAUAUGCCUUUUCAAAAUCAAGUUUAAGCAGAACUGCAGUAGAGUUUUGUUUUUUAACUUCAUGCAUAAUUUCAUACAAAGAAAAGAUCCCAUCAACAAUGUAUCUCCCCCCAAUGAAAGCAUUCUGGUGAGGGCUAAUUAAUUUGUUCAUCACAGAAUCCAAUCUAAUGGUAAGCACCUUAGUGAUGAGCUUAUACAGACAAUUCAGAAGACAAAUGGGACGAAAUUGUUGAAUUCUACAAGCACAAACAAUCUUAGGAAGAAGAGUUAUCACCCCAUAAUUCAAUCUUUGUAUAUCUAGCUUGCUCCUAUGAAACUCCUCAAACAUAAACAGGACAUCUAUUCUCAUAAAAUCCCAGCCAACUUGAAAAAAAUUCAAUGGGGAGCCCAUCAGGGCCGGGGCCUUGUUUUUUUCCAUAGAGAAAAGCGCCACUUUCACCUCUUCUUCAGUGAAAGGUCUAGUGAGGAAGGAGUUAUCACAACUAGUGACAUUCACUACAUUAGACCAAAAAGAGGGAUCUAACUGAAUAUCAGAAACAGGGGUAGUGCCAAAUAAGGCUUUAUAGUAAUCAGUGGCAUGCUGUAAGAGUAAAGCAGGAUCAGAGAUAGAACCAGAAUCAUCUUCUAUGAAAAAAAAAAUAGAAUUCUUCCUCUUCCUCCCAUUGGCAAUACGAUGGAAGUAUUUUGUGUUCCAAUCACCUUCCAAAAUCCACUUCUGAUGGGAUCUCUGAAACCAGUAAAGUUUCUCAUCUGCAUACAACCUAUGCAAUUUAGUCAUAAUAUCAACCUUUCUCCCACAGUGAACUGGGAGCAUGAGCCCAUCGUCUUCAAGUAAUUCAAUAUUAUCUAGCUUUUCUUGAAGCAAUAUUCUUUCUUUUUUCAUAUGACCAGAAAUAUUAGCCCCUAGCCUUUGAAAUACUUCUUACAUCGUUUGAUUUUAAUUUGAACAAUGUUAAGAAUAGACUUAGCACAAACAGGCUGACACCAAAUCUCUCUAAGUUUAGAUAGGAAAUCUUUGUGUUUAAGCCAGGAUAAUUCAAAAUUAAAAGUGGUGUUUUUCUUGUUCUGAGGAAUAGCAGAGUUAAGGAGCAAAGCAUUAUGAUCAGAAAGGGAUCUAGGUAACUUUCUAACAGUGACUAAGGGCAAAAUAUCUUCCCAGUCAGCAGACAUAAGGAUUCUAUCAAGCUUGACCAAAGUUGGGGAUCUUGACCAUUGGUCCAAGUGAAUUUCCCCCCAUUGAGAGCAAUUUCUCUAAGAUUGUAAUGAUGAAUAACAGAAUUGAAAUCAUCAAUAUGAUAAGAGUGACAGUAAUUUUGAUUUUUCUCAUCAGGAUGCCUAAUGAUAUUAAAGUCACCACCAAUAAUGUAUGGGACAUCCUGCAAGGCCAGGAAAUCAAACAUCUCCCCAAGGAGCUCAUCCUUCAAUUUAUGAUGAGCAGAACCAUAAAUAGAUAACAGGUUCCAUUUUAAAUUCAAUUGUUUGUCCCAAAGACAAACCUGCACAAUGUAUUUUCCAAUCUUAGUCAUAUGAACCUCAAAGGAAUCUUUCUUUAACACCCACUGAAAUACCACCAGAUUUUCCUUCGGAAGGAAGCCAAGUCCACAAAAAAACAUCAAAGGGGUCAAACUUCCUCAGGUAAGCAUCAUUAACCACAGGUUUUUUUGUUUCUUGCAAGCAGAGAAAAUCAAGAUUAUGGUCCCAAAUAAGUUCCCUGACACAUACACCCAUUUCCUUCUUCCCACUCCCCCUACAGUUCCAAAAAAGACCACUAAUCAUGAAUUUUUCUUUUUCCUACCCCUCCUAGUAGCUCUCCCAUUCCCAGGUUGAGCCAAGCUACUAGGUAUAGCAGACCCUCCACUGGAGCGCCCAAUGACACCAGCUGGAUUCAGCCGUGUCUUACUGGUUCUCAACUUUCUAGAUGAAACAAGAGUAAAAUCAUCACCAGGAUAAACAGGAGGAAAAUCCUCAUGAUCAGAAACAGAACCAGCAGAAGUAGAAAAUUGGGGAGGAGUAGAAUCAAGGAGAGAGACAGUAGCAACAGGUCUAUUGGCAAGCAGAGAAUCUCUGGCAGUUUCAAGUUCUUUCAAAAUAUUAACAGUGGAAAACGUGUCAUUGAGAAUGAAAGCCCCCAUAGCUUGAGCGCGAGAAAUAAUCACAUCAUCACCAAGAAGCGAGAAAGAAUUAGUGCGAGGGCACAUACCUUCAGAGUUUUUCUUCUGCAGAAGAGCAGUUGCCUUAAGGAGAGUAGGAGUAGGUGCCUUCUUAGACAAUCUGUCACUGAAGCGAACAGGAGCAACAGGCUUCUUCACAAGAGGUGCAGGAAGCUCAGCAUCAGAAACAGCUUGCUGAGAGUCUUGGGAUAAUGGCCCACCAUUAUCAGAGAAGCAGACAGGGUCCUCAUGCAUAUACUCAACACUGCACCCUAAGCGUUGUAGUUGAUAAGGGGAAGAGCUAGUCCAAUCAACACCAGGACAUAGGGCUUGGAUCACACCCCUCACAUCAGCGGGUAAAUGAAAAGUCCCUGCAGGAAAAUUUUGCUGAACAGACUUGAGCCAGGGGGAUAGGCCAACAUCAAGCAACACCUGAAGAUGUAAGCCUUCAGGAACAACAUGAAGCACAUGAAAGAUUUGCUCAGACCUAGUCACCACAGAUUCAGCUUCCUGACACAUGGUAUCAAUAAGCAGGUCAUUAUAAGCAUUUUCACUCUCUUCCUCUUCUUCCUCAUCAACAGCAAGGAUAUCAGUGGCAUUCUUUUUUUUCCCUCCAUAUGAACUACCCCCCAUAGUUUUAGUUGGAGUAGAUUUUGGUGGAGGAUCAUUAAAACGAUGCCUCUUAGGUGUGUGAACCUCUUCAGGAUCGCGGACAUCAGAUAGAACAGUAGCCUUCUCAUUGUUCUUUUUGUGACUCACAAUCACAGAUUCACAUUCAAAGAAGAAGUCAUAAAGCAAAGUACCCAGGUAUCCCUCUGCAGAUGCAGCUAUAUUAUAGGCAUCCACACAACCGAGCUUGAUACGCACAUAUUCAGGUUUGGAUAGGGUGACCGGAUCAAUGUCCAAGGUGACGCCUACCAAGGAUCCAACAAAAGCAACCACGGCCUCAGAGCGCAUGUCACCAGGAAUAUUACUCACUUUCACCCAAGCUUGAUCCAUUUCUCCUUUAGCACCAAUACAUGGUGUCCAGGGAUCAACAUUCACCUUAGCAGAAGUGUUCUGGAGAACAAAUCCCUUAAAAAAGGAAAACUCCUCAACUUUUUUAGCAUUAGGGAAACGCAUCACAAAACGAUCAGGGCCAAUAGGACGAGCAGAACAACGCCAGGUACCAGCAAACAGAAGAUUGAAUGCAGCCUCAACCUGCCGUGCAGUGGCCACACCCUCCACCACAGUGAUAACAACUGAGGAAUUCUUGUCUUUGGUGGUUUUCUCAGAAGGAAUGGGGGGAAUGAAGAACAAACCCUGCCCUUUGGCUUGGAAUCCACACAUGGGAGCAGAACAAUCUUCAAAAAAAUUCCUAGGGCAAUCCCGAACAACAUGACCAAGGAUCCCACAUUUAGAGCACGCACCUUUAGGAAGAGCAGUCGGCGGCGAGGCAUCACGAGGAUGUUUGCGCGGUGAAGGUAGCGGACGAGUCGGCGGCGGCUGAUCUCCAACCACCACCUCCUCGAUGUGACCCACCGGUGCCGUCUCGGUCACCGAUGCCGUCGCGCCGUCUGGAUUUGCCCACUGGUUCGUCCCAGACGACUCCCCCGCGUCGUCUGAGCAGCUUCCUCCCAGCGAGCAUUCCCCUGCUCCUGGCCAUGGAUCUGAAGAUCCUGGCCACGAAUCUGAGGGUUCUGGUCACGGAUCUGGCCUCUGGCCUGCCCCUGAUCCUGUCCGCCACGGAUCGGGGCCUCCCUGCCCUGAUCACGGUUCCAGACAAGACCACGGCCACGACCUUGGCCACGGCUGCGCCCAGCCCCAAAACCGUCACGGCGUUGGCUGUAACCACCCCGAGCCGUCACCAUCGAGAGACAUCGUGCACGAGAUGGCGUCGCCACCACCUGAGCAAACGAACAUCGGUUGCCACCAACAGUCCCCCGCCAUGCACCCGUAGGCACACCAACCCGAGAAGGAGGUGAACUAGGACGCCGCCAGAAGUGGGCAAACAAGGAAUCAACAGUAAACCCUAGAUGAGAAUGAGAUGAGGGAGGGGAAUGGGACGACUAAAGAAUCCGAGGCGACUCCCCUGGAUUAACCACGUCUGCCUGCCCCCUCGAGGAGUCACCAAUGGAUCCACGCGUCAAAGGAUCAACGGGACGACGUGGCGAAAUCGCAACCGCAGGAACAACUGUCCCCACCCGCGGGACCGUGCCAAGGACGGAACUACCCCUCGCGGGAAUUGGGGUGGGAGGGAAUCACCCGCACCGACACGCUCGAGGGCACGCUAGCACGGUCGCCCGCCGGCGGUGGCAAGAGACGGCGUGGCGCGAGGAGGUUCAUCGCCGAGCUGCCAACUCAAAUGCCGAUUAGCUUAUUCUUUUUGUGCCUUAUUACAGAAAUCUCCAUGAAGUAUGACUUUACAGUAUGCCUUAGGGCACCGAAAUUGAGUUAAUUAUCAAACCUAUACUUCAUGCGGGGGUUUUGACAAUUUGUUUCACUUUACCUUGUACUUUGAGCAAUUGUCUCAUCUUUCAAGUGGCCGCAUACGCAUGCAAGUGUCACGAGACAUGACAAAUCAUCAAAGUGCAAAGUAAAUUGAGACAAAUUAAUGAUCAAACGACAUACGGAGGUAAUAGUUGGAAGAAGAUGAUACAGAAAAGUUCGAGAGUAUACUUUUAUGUUUUGUGUAACAUAUGCGAUCUUGGUACAGGCGAGCGCAAGAAAGAAGAGAAUUUAAAUAAAACGAUGUGCCGCUCGAUUCAGAAAAACACAUGCAUGCAUGCGAUCUGGACAUGCGAAUCAUGGACUGACGAUGGUAUCUUGUUUCUAAUUAAUUUGUGCAUCCCGGUCUAGUGAGACGUUGAAACCCUUGCAAAAAUGGAGCAAAGGAAGAAGAAAUCGUAGGCCGAUGGUGCAGAAAAUGUGGAUUGCCCCGAAUUACAAGGACCGGCGUAAUGUAUGUUCUCCGAGCAAACCAGCCAUGCAUCGUUCGUUCCGUCCGUAGAGAAGGAGUCCAAGCAGCACGUUUGUGCACGAUCGCUGGUGAUGUCGAUCAUGCAAGUAGCGUGGACCAAUUCCAGAGGCCCCGCACCCGCAACGAAGGAUGAGCCACAAGGAGCAGAAGGACACCGGCUGCCCCUUCCAGCGCAACGCCACCGAUGCCUGCCGCCAUCUCCCAGCCGCUGUCGAACUUCCUCAGCAGCGACCUGGCCGACUCCACCGCCUCGCCCCCUGGAAUCCGCCGGUGCGCGCGAGAGGAAGGGGAGGACCUUAUUUUGGCUGGCAUAAGUGCACUGGGUAUUCAAUCAAUACUUCCACCACAAAACACUAGUAUGCGAAGAUUUUUUUAAUUAAAAAAUAGGUGUUUUGUGAAAAAUUUAGGAAUUAUUCCCAAGAGUUUCUGGAUCUAGGGAGAAUAAUACACUCCCAGUACUAGAAAAACACUGCCAAAGGAGGCCUAAAGAGAUGCAAGAGGCCAGCUUUGAUUGCACACGCACAUACCGUCUCCUCUGAUCUUGUCUAGCUACGUGCGUGUAAAACCUACGGAAUUAAUUCGAUCCAUGGCACGGCGUUUUGAUGGCUCGGCGUUUGGCCAGGUUCUGGCCCAAUCUCUCUCUCAGUUGUUCGUAUCCAAGUGGUGCCAGGGUACAUGUCAAAAAAGUGGUGCCAGGGUAAACUUGGUAAUUUCCCAACUUCACUAGUAUCAGAAGCAUAGAAAAUACAAUGAAUAAAUUUCACAAAACCACUCCUCUAACGGAUAGGUUUCACAGAGCUACCAUUUCAGGAAUUCGCAUCAGUUUGCCACUACUCCAGGGAUAAUUUCACUUUACCCAAACCUGACCGAUUAGCCAAUUUGACAGUAAAACUGACAUAUUGAGGCCACAUGCAAGGUCUUCACCAUUUUCAAAGAACCCCUGGCCUUUUUUUAAUGCCUUGACCCUCGUCUUCUUCCCUUAGCGUUAAGCAGCAACAUCAGCCUGCACACACGGGCCGGUCCGCCGGGCGGCGCGGUGGUGCGAGCGGGCGUGAGGAGGCGGCCAGCGGCGACGAGCGGUGCGGUGCGGUCUGGCAGCGCGGGCAGGCGCGGGCGCGGGGAGGCGGCGAGCGGUGCGGUGAGGGCAGGCUCGGGCGGCUGGCGGCGACGGCGAGCGGUGCGGCGGGGGCUGGCAACGUGGGCGUAAGCGGGCGCGGUCCGGUCGCACGGGCGGUGCGGCGCGGGCCCGGGGAGUCUCCUGGCGACGCGGGCGGCCAGGCGGCGCCCGCAUGGGGAGGCUGCCGGAGCAUGGGCGGGCAGCCGCGCGGGGGGGGGGGGGGGGGGGAUCCAGAGAGUGAGUCGGAGUUGGGGUGGGCCGAGAAAAUAGAGAAAAACAUGAGGUUUGGAAAAAAAACAUGGAUCUUCCAUGUGGCCCCAAUAUGUCAGUUUUACUGUUAAAUGGGCUAAUCGGCUUGAUUUGGCAAAGUGAAAAUAAUUACCUCUAAAACAGUGGCAAACUGAUGCGAACUCUCCUAGAGUAGUGGUUUUAUGAAAUUUACUCAUCUUGUGGCAUUGGUAUACCUAAAGGGAUCAUACUUGGGUUAACUUUCAAUUGGAAUUCAUCUACUUUUAAUGAUAUCAGAUUUACAAGUUAGUUUAAUUAGUUUUCAGUUCAUAGUCCCGGAGCAACGCCGAAGAUUCUGCCCACAGCUUCUUGGCCACCUCCACGUCAUAGGACAGCACAGAAGACCUGACGGUCUUUCCUUUCCCACCAAAGAAAUACUUCCCAGAUGCUUCCUGCAACACAGUAAACAUAAAAAACAACUCAAUUCGGAGUUGGUAGCAGGAUGUCAAUACUCAAUACCACAUUUUUCGUUGAGAAAUGACAGAAGCUUUGUGAGGAUUUAUGAGGAAGGUUACAGGCAGCGCCAACGCAGCGUCAAGGAUAGCAUCAACCCCAGUAUCCGGCUGCUGUAGGAGAUUCAUGAAGCGCAGAACGAAGAGCGCGAACCGGGAAAGGCAUGGAGGGAGCUCCCGCAUGAUGCGUGUUUCUACCACACCCGGGUCAGCAGCCCUAGAAGAAUCGAAUGCAAUACUUCAAUGGUGCAAAUAAACAAACUUCAAAUAAUAGACCAUUACGAAAUGCUCUAGGUAGCACAGAAGCUUGAAAUGUAGUCAGAAAAACUUUAAUGUACGAUAAAUGAGUCAUAAUCUCGUCGUACAGGAAAUAUAACUUAACAACGACUUAAAUACUUGUUUCAGUAGAGAUUUACUUGGUUGCUAAUGGGUGAAAAGCUCUGGUAAACAUAAUAUCAUUUCAAUCAAGCAUGGUUGCAUGAAGAUCAAAUGGAAGGGAAGAACACGACAAAUUAAUGGUACAUACAUGACAGAGAGACCAGAAGAGAUGUGAAGUUGUCGAUGAAGUUCAUAUGAGAACAUCAGUAAACAAACUGCAAUAGGAGAAAAUGAGACCAACUACAUUUCAUUCGAUAAGAGCUGCAUGGAUUGAAAACUGAAGCAAGAGGCGUACACUUGGUAUACUCAUAAAUUGAAGCUAAGGGGUAAGUUCCCCUCACUAAACAUUGACCAAACUUCACUCCUCGCAACUCUUCCUCUGACACGUCAAUUUCUGACACUGGAGAUGUAAAUUGCAAGUGUUAAUCAAAGAGAAUGUUCACAGGGAAAAGAAGGGAAAAUGUACAAUGGUGGCAUGAUCUAUCUGGAAUGGAAACAAAGUUCUGAUCAAGUAGCCAGAAUGAUCAGCAGCAAGAGCAAUUGCGAAAGCUAGUACAGAGAUAUAUACCAGAUUCAAAACAGCCGAGGCAGCAAUAUGUGUUGAACAAGAUUUCAACAAUAGAGCUAGUACAACCAAGAAAUCCACAGAAAGGGCGAAUAUUUCACAAAUAGAUGCAAACUAAUGUAUGUAAUAAAAUAUUUGCGUAAUGUCGAAAUGCCCAAGGCACAGUUGCUCAACCUAGGCUGGGAGAUAGUCCAUACAAUUUGUGUAGCAUUUACAAUAAGAAAGAUUCAAACUUACCACAUCUGUGUGUGAAUGAUGUUAGAUUAACUACUCGGGAAGGUAUUGGACUGUUCUUCAGCAGCGGUAAAAGAAUGUUCGUAAGGAUAAAUGGACCAAUGUAGUUUGUCUGCAUUGUUCUGAAAGGUCCAUGCAUUAAGAUUCACUUAGAGAGUUGUCUACAUAAAAAGGACAUGACACUGGUACUAAGAGAACAUGUGAACUGAAGAAUAAUGUUUUCUCUUGCAAGAAUAAUUUAAAGUGAAGCACCUACUCAUCAUGCCCAUCUUCGGUAACUCGCUGCGAUUUUGCCAGCAUCCCAGCAUUAUUUAUCAAAAGUUGAAUGGAAGGCUUCAAAUCUGAAUCCCAAAGCCACUGUUUCAGCGCAGUUUCAAACUUCUUUAUUGACUUGUAGGAUGAUAAGUCGAUUUGAAACUCUUCAAGGCAGGCAUAUGGUUGUUGCCUCCGAAUUUCUCGAGCAGUCUGUUUUACAUAGAGUGCAGCAAUGAUGGCAAUGUUUAAACAAUGUCAAACAUACACCCAACUCAAGCUCCAAACAGUACCUCAGAUAGCAACUGUGUAGAGCGACCAGCUGACACAAAAUAGAACGCGUGUUGUUUUAGUUCAAAAACACUAAUUCCCCAAUAAGGAUGAACCAACUCGACGAGAAUAAAAAACUGAACAUGAAUGUAAUCAAGAAUUCGGGAACAGAAGAGAAUCAGAUAUCUAUGGAUUAAUUGGUGAAUAAUGUGAUGAAACGUUUGCAGAUUCAUCAGAGGUCACGGGUUCGCAGAAAUGAAAAAUCCUGCAGUCCAGGGCUCUUGCUGAAGAAUGAGAGCAUAAACUUGUAUAGACUAGAUAUUCCACACAAACAAGAAAGAAACUACCAAACUAGCACUAUGCCAUGAUAACCAUCAUAUCUUAAUUGGGCCAAACUAACAGUAUGCGUCAAAUGUUCGACGAAAUGUCCACACAAGCACCACAAGAGACACGCGACUAACCGAGCACGACGUGGUAGCCCUCCCGUGCCAGAGCCGCCGCGGCCGCCUUGCCCAGCCCCGACGUCGCCUGCACACACAGACACAUACACCACGAAGCGGAGUGUCACAGCGGAAAUAAACUGGUGCAAACAUCUUGAGAGGCGGUUCUUGCUUACCCCGGUGACGACACAGAUGGGACGGCCGCCGCCAGCGUGGGGUCUCGGUCGACGGCGGCGAGGGGUGUCGGUCCGGCCACGGAGGAAGAGGAGGAGGUAGGAGUAGAGGAGGGAGAGGGUCCAGAGGACGCCCAUGCGCCAGAACUCGGGCGAGCACACCAUGCGCAGCGCCUCGCGGUCCAUGGUGAAGCUGAAGCGGUGGGUCUUGCAAGGCGGCGGCGGCGUCAACCCUCCCGAGAAGUAUGUACUGACCGAACCCACGAAAGCUCGAUUUGGUCCCUGGAACGUUUCGCAAAUUACAAGUCGUUUUUUUUUUCAGCUUGUGUGCCGUUGAUUGGAUCGGAGGUAUUCCUCUGGGCAUCGUGCUGCUCCGGUCAAAAUAGAUUGAACGAUCAAUCUACGUGGGGCAUGUCUUACACGGCGGCGCCAAUUCGUGGCUCCCCGAUCUCAUCUCUUCAUUCCCGAUAUCCUCUUUUCCUCCGUUGCUCGUACCCCAUCUCUUCCUCCUCAGAUUUGCUCUCUCGCUCCCCUGCCCCGUUCUCUUUCCCCGGGCACCAUUCUCCUAUUUUGGGCCUGCUUAAGUUCUGUACCCCUCGGAUUCGAGCACUAGGGCCACCGCUUCCACCGGAUCGAGGCUCCAACGCCACCGGCACCGUCUCCUCUUCGGCCUCCAAGCUCCAAGGACGUGGGAUCCAUCACCACGAGAGCGGCGUCGUGCUCCUAAUCUGGUCAACGCCCUCUCGGAGCAGCAGCAAGAGGACAGCAGCGCGGACACCAUCUCCCCCAUAUCCAUGUUGUCCGGAAGUCGCCGUAUGGGUCCGCCUGCUAGGAGGAGGCCGCACCGCGUGUUAGACUCUGCAUCGAGGUGUUGUGUGUGCCCCUCAUCGCCGGCCGCAGUCACGGCGGGGAAGAAGAAGUGGAGGAGGAGGAGAGGUGGAAAGUGUCUUGGGGCGACGGGGAGGACGGCGAGGUGGCCGUGGAUGCGUUCGGCACCGUCGUCGUCUGCAAUGGGCACUAACCCGUGCCCAAGCUCCCAGGUGAGAGGCGCAAUGCCUAGUUUCUCCCCCCUUCCUUCCUUCCGGAUCUUCUCAACUCAGAUCAGGGAAACAAAAUUAUGAGCUGCUGUCAGAAGAGUUAUUAAUUUUGAUUUCGCGACUUAAGAACUGAGAAGAUGCACAGCCACAGAUACGCAUUCCAGAGGCAGAUGGCCUCAGGUGUUGCUAAUUUGGAUUGACCCCUGAUGUUGAGGUGAUAACUUAUUCCUUCUUUUGGAGUUUGUUCCUUAGUACCGGAUAUGCAAUAUUAGGAAUUGAAGUGCUGAAUUGGCUUUUGUUCAUGUUGCAACAGUGGUUGAUGUACAUGUUGACUAUGCAUUGAUCCUGAUUCAUGAUGGGAUGCUCCUCACUCCUCAGCCAUGCUACAGGAUGCGCGUCACGGGAUUCCGCCUUAUAUGCAAUGCACAUAUUUUAGUGAGAAAAUUACUAGCCAUGAUAAAUACUACCCAAUUGCUAUCUAUCAUGAUGUUGUUUGACCACUGUUCAACUGCCAUAAUUUUUACACCUAAUGACCAGAUUAUUUUAUCUUAGUUGUCAUGUUGUAUAUAGUCGGUUGCCAUGAUGUUUAACAAUCAUUCAAUUGCCAUAUUUUUUACACGUAGUGACCAGAUUAGUUGAUCCUACUUGCCACAUUGUUUUACAAGAGCUCAACUGCCAUAUUUUACCUCUAAUGACCAUAUUAUUUGAUUCUACUUGUCAUGUUAUUUUCACCGUUCAAUUGCCAUAUUUCUUUAUCCCCAAUGACCAAAUUAUUUCAUCAUAGUGGCCAUAUUGUUUACCACCGCUCAAUUGCCACAUUUCCUACCCUUAGUGACCAAAUUAUUUGAUCCUAGUUGCCAUGUUAUUUUAUCACCGCUCAAUUGCCAUAUUUUUUAUUCCUGGUGACCAGAUUAUUUGAUCCUAAUUGAGAUAUUAUUUUACCAUCGCUGCGAUUGCCAUAUUUUUAGUCUAGUGACCAGAUUAUUUGAUCAUAAUUGUCAUAUUUUCUUUAGCAUCGCCCAAUUGCCAUAUUGUGUACACCUAGUGACCAGAUUAUAUGAUUCUAAUCGCCAUGUUCUUUUAUCACCACUCAAUUGUCAUAUUUUUUUUACGUCUAUUGACCAUAUUAUUUGAUGUUAAUUGCCAUGUUAUUUUACCACCGCUCAAUUGCCAUAUUUUUUAUCCUUAAUGACCAGAUUAGUUGAUCCUAGUUGCCAUGUUAUUUUACCGUUGCUCAAUUGCCAUAAUUUUUGUCCCUAACGACCACAUUAUUGAUCUCAGUUGCCAUGUUGUUUUCCCACUGCUGAAUUCCACACUCAGCUUUGUGACAGUUUCAAGAAUGUCCGUUAAAUUAUAUGGUGACGACAUUAAGAGACAUUGGACUGAUCAAUAUAAUGGGUUGUCAAUGGAGAUAGGAUUGUGGUAGUGGCAGUGCAAUGACGGCAAGAUGUGAAUGUGUAUUUGUAUAGAUUGUAAAUUAUGACUUGGUCCUGAUUUGGUGGUGUUAUGUUAUGAUUUUGUUGUAAAUUUUGUCAUGCGUGUAAUGUAGUUGUAUGUACUACUUUUAGGGUUGAAGUGCUGGUCGGAGCGAUGUGUGAAAAUGAUUUAAUCAGUAUCUAGACCUGUUGUCGGAUGCAUUAGUCACUAUGUAUGGAAGAGCGAUUUAAUAUGUAUGGGUCAAGCUCUAUUUGUCGAAAGAAUUAAGCUAAUUGAAAACAAUAAAGCCAAUCCAUCCCCAGCGUGAGAGCGCGCGGUACGGCAGCUGGCAGGAGGCGUAAAGCCAAUCCAUUCCUCUAGGUCCUCUUCUUGGAAGAAGCUCGUCUGCUGCUGCAGGUGGUGGUGGUGGUCGUCGUCCUUGAGGAAGAGGCCAAGAGGGCGCAAGAAGCUGCGCGAGCCGACCAUGUACUGAUCUUGAGGCCGAGCAAGGCCGAAGAACUCCAGGUCGAUUU